UUUUUUUUGUUUUUCUUAAGGUUUAUUAAACACACAAGAAGAAAGUAGGAAAAGGAAAAUAAACUAGCAUGGAUAUUACAGUGAAAAGUAUGAGCACCGACAUCUAGCAAUGAGUGUGUGUGAGCAUAAAUGUAAUGUCAGUGAGAAAUACGUACUCCCCCAAGCCUAGGCUUUUGGCCUAUGUUGGUCUAUGGCCACGGCUGGCCUGGCGGAUAUCCAUAAUAAUAGUUGUUGGGGUCGUAUUGUGAUGAGGAAGGAUAGUUGGGAUAUACUGAUGUGCAGCGGUUAUCGCCUGCUGAGCUGCAGCGUGGAGUCGGGCUGCCUCCGCUCUCCUCUCGUACUCUUCUGCCUCCUCUCUGGUAAUAACAUAUCUUCCUUUUGCCUGUGAAUCAAAGAAGGCAGGAGGAGGGAGAGUAAUACGGAAAACACGUCGUUUAUCAAAAAUUAAGCGAUAUAAGAGAGGUGAUUCAGGCCUCUCGACAAACUAGUGCGAAGCCAUAGAGUUAUAAUCUAAAUAUGCAGGAGGCAACUCCAUAUCACCCUCACGAAUGUCUAUUUCAAGAAAAUGAGCUAAGAGGGUUGCAUAAAUUCCUCCAAAGAAAUCUCCAUUAUGUCUAUUAUGAUGCAACCUACGAGCUACAAUGGCUCCCAUAAGAUAAGAUUGGUCUCCUAACACAGCACUCCUAAGAAUGUUGAGAUCAGGGACACACAUGUGACAUGCUUCAUCCUUAGCAUUUAUGCAUCUACCGAUGAAAAGAGCAAAAUAAUGUAUAGCAGGAAAGUGAAUGCUCCCUAUGGUAGCCUGCGUUAUAUCUCUGGAUCCCCCCACAGUUAUACUAGCAAGAAAGUUUCUAAAUUCAGAUUUAGGGGGAUCCCUAAUACUGCCCCAUGAUGGAAGUUCGCAAGCAGAAGUGAAAUCCUCUAGGUCCAUGGUAUAAUAUUUGUCAUAAAGAUCAAACAUGACUGAAGGAGAAUUACGCGAAGAUGAAUACUCAAACCUCCUCACAAAUGAACUUGUGAGAUCAUGAUACUGGGGCAUUUGUUAGCCUCAAAAUCCUCAAGACCGGCAUUGCGCAAAUAUUUUUUGAAUUCUUCUUUAAUUCCCGCACGGUCCAUAAAAUUUUCCGACGGCCAUUCGCAAGGCCGCACUGGAGCGUCUCUUGGUGGAUCCUCGUCAGCAUCGCGCAUAGCAAUUAUGGGUCCUUGCUUCUUAGAGGAACCACCUUGGAACAUCUUCCUAAACAUAUUGUUUUCCUCUGAAAAAUUCUAAAAAAUUUAGUAACUUCAAAAUAAAGGUGAACCAAACUCAAUAAAACUGAUAGCAACUACUCCUACAAGUGCCUAGAGCCUAUAUCAAGCAUUAGAACUACUUGGAACCAUAUAAAUUUGACAUGCAAGCUCAAGAACAUGGUCACCUAUGCAGCACAAAUUUGCAAAGAAUAAAGCACUAGAACAAGAACUAAUUGGACCAAUGGAGGAGUCACAUACCAAGGAACAAUCUCUCCAAGCAGUUUUGCAAGAGGUGCUUUGAGCAAGGAGAUCGAAAAUCGCAGCAGAAGUGUCUGGAACUCGUGCUUGAGUUGGUUUUUCGGGUUUUUGUGAGAUAGAGGAAGAAGAUGGGUGCUAGGAUAAGUGGAGGAGGGCCACCGUGGGCCCACGAGGCAGGGGGUCACGCCCACCACCCUCGUGGCCAGGUGGCAGCUCCUCCCGCGGUAAUUUUUGCACAGUAAAUCCUCAAAUAUUCCCGAAAAAUCAUAUUAAAUUGGCAUGGCAUUCUGAGGACUUUUAUUUUCAGGAUAUUUUUAUAUUGCACGGAUAAGUCAGGAAACAGAUAGAAAAUACUAUUUUUACUUUAUUUAAUCUAAAUAACAGAAAAUAUAGAGAGGGUACAGAAGGUUGUGCUUCUAGUUUCAUCCAUCUCAUGCUCAUCAAAAAGAAUCCACUAACAAGGUUGAUCAAGUCUUGUUAACAAACUCAUUCCGAUAAUCAUGGAACCGGACAAAUUUUGAAUAACACUAAGUUACCUCAACGGGGAUAUGCACAUCCCCAAUAAUAAGAAUAUCAUAUUUCUUGUUGACAGUAGGAAGAGGAAAUUCAAAACCUCCAAUUAUAAUCGAUGGAAUUUUUCCAAUGGAGUUGAUACUAUGAACUUGAGGUUGUUUCCUCGGAAAGUGUACUGUAUGCUCAUUACCAUUAACAUGAAAAGUGACAUUGCCUUUGUUGCAAUCAAUAACAGCCCCUGCAGUAUUAAGAAAAGGUCUUCCAAGAAUAAUAGACAUACUAUCAUCCUCGGGAAUAUCAAGUAUAACAAAGUCCAUUAAAAUAGUAACGUUCGCAACCACAACAGGCACAUCCUCACAAAUACCAACAGGUAUAUCUGUUGAUUUAUCAGCCAUUUGCAAAGAUAUUUCAGUAGGUGUCAGCUUAUUCAAGUCAAGUCUAUGAUAUAAAGAGAGAGGCAUAACACUAACACCGGCACCAAGAUCACAUAAAGCAGUUUUAAUAUAAUUCUUUUUAGUGGAGCAAGGUAUAGUAGGUACUCCGGGGUCUCCAAGUUUCUUUGGUAUUCGACCCUUAAAAGUAUAAUUAGCAAGCAUGGUGGAAAUUUCAGCUUCCGGUAUCUUUCUUUUAUUAGUAAUGAUAUCCUUCAUAUAUUUAGCAUAAGGAUUUGUUUUGAGCACAUCAGUUAAUCUCAUACGCAAAAAGAUAGGCCUAAUCAUUUCAGCAAAGCGCUCAAAAUCCUCGUCAUCCUUUUUCUUGGAUGGUUUCGGAGGAAAAGGCAUGGGUUUCUGAACCCAAGGUUCCCUUUCUUUACCAUGUUUCCUAGCAACAAAGUCUCUUUUAUCAUAACGUUGAUUCUUUGAUUGUGGGUUAAGAUCAACAGCAGGUUCAAUUUCUACAUCAUUAUCAUUACUAGGUUGAGCAUCAUCAUGAACAUCAUCAUUAAUAUUUUCAUUAGGUUCAUGUUCAUUACCAGAUUGUGUUUCAGCAUCAGACAUAGAAAUAUCAUUUGGAUUAUCAGGUGGUUCAGCAAUAGGUUCACUAGAAGUUUGCACAGUUCUAUCAUUUUUCUUCUUCUUCUUUUUAGAAGAACUAGGAACAUCAAUAUUAUUUCUUUGAGAAUCUUGCUCGAUUCUCUUAGGGUGGCCUUCAGGAUACAAAGGUUCCUGAGUCAUUCUACCAGUUCUAGUGGCCACUCUAACAGCAUAAUCAUUUUUCUUUCUAUUCAUUUCAUCAAGCACUUCUUUUUGAGCCUUAAGUACUUGUUCUACUUGAGUGGUAACCAUAGAAGCAUGUUUGCUAACAAGUUUAAGUUCACAUUUAAUAUUAGCAUAUAAUCACCCAAGCGUCUAAUCAUAUAAGCAUUUUCUUUUAAUUGUCUACCAAAAUAAGCAUUGAAGUCAUCUUGCUUAUACAUAAAGUUAUCAAACUCAUCCAAGCAUUGACUAGCAAUUUUAGUAGGAGGGACUUCAGCUUUAUCAUAUCUACAGAGAGAAUUUACCUUUACUACCUGUGUCAGGAUAUCGGGAUCAGGAGGUUCUUCAGUGAAUAAAUAAUUGAGAUCAUAUGUUUCUUCAACAGGCGGUAUAUUAAGACCAUGUAUUUCUUCAAUAGGAGGUAAAUUCUUAAUGUCUUCAGCUUUAAUACCUUUUUCUUUCAUAGAUUUCUUUGUCUCUUGCAUAUCUUCGGGACUGAGAAAUAAAACACCUCUCUUCUUCGGAGUUGGUUUAGGAAUAGGCUCAGUAAUUGGAGCAGGAGAUGGCUCAGGAGCUAGCUCAGGAGGUGCCCAAUUAUUUUCAUUUGUCAACAUAUUAUUCAAUAGAAUUUCAGCUUCAUCCGGUGUUCUUUCCCUGAAAAGAGAACCAGCACAACUAUCCAGGUAAUCUCUGGAAGCAUCGGUUAGUCCAUUAUAAAAGAUAUCAAGUAUUUCAGGUUUCUUAAGAGGAUGAUCAGACAAAGCAUUAAGUAACUUGAGAAGCCUCCCCCAAGCUUGUGGGAGACUCUCUUCUUUAAUUUGCACGAAAUUGUAUAUUUCCCUCAAAGCAGCUUGUUUCUUAUGAGCAGGGAAAUAUUUAGCAGAGAAGUAAUAAAUCAUAUCCUGGGGACUACGCACACAACCAGGAUCAAGAGAAUUAAACCAUAUCUUAGCAUCACCCUUUAAUGAGAACGGAAAUAUUUUGAGUAUAUAAAGGUAACGCGAUCUCUCAUCAUUAGUAAACAGGGCAGCUAUAUCAUUUAACUUAGUAAGAUGUGCCACAACAGUUUUAGAUUCAUAGCCAUAAAAUGGAUCAGAUUCAACCAAAGUAAUUAUAUCAGGAUCAACAGAGAAUUCAUAAUAUUUAUCAGGAACACAUAUAGGUGAAGUAGCAAAAGCAGGGUCAGGUCUCAUUUUAUCUCUAAGUGAUUCUUUGUUCCAUUUAAUUAAUAACCUCUUAAGCUCUUAUCUAUAUUUGCAAGCAAAAAUAGCGGCAGAAGAUUCCAUAUCAAAAAGAUAACCCUCAGGAAUAACAGGCAUAUUUUCAUCAUCACUAUCAUCAUCGUAUUCAGAUUCAAUAAUUUCUUUUUCUCUAGCCCUAGCAAUUUGUUCAUCAAGAAAUUCACUAAGGGGCACUGUAGUAUCAGGCAUAGAAGCAGUUCCAUCAUAAGUAUCAUGCAUAGCAAAAGUGGCAUCAUCAAUAACAUGCGACAUAUCAGAAUGAAUAGCAGAAGCAGGUGUAGGUGUCGCUAACUUACUCAUAACAGAAGGUGAAUCAAGUGCAGAGCUAGGUGGCAGUUCCUUACCUCCCCUCGUAGUUGAGGAUAGAUCUUGGUUUUUGGAUCUCUCAAGUUCUUCAUGGUGUCCAACAGAUAUAAAUCCCAAGUGACUCAAAGAAUAGAGCUAUGCUCCCCGGCAACGGCGCCAGAAAUUUGUCUUGAUAACCCACAAGUAUAGGGGAUCGCAACAGCUUUCAAGGGUAGAGUAUUCAACCCAAAUUUAUUGAUUCGACACAAGGGGAGCCAAAGAAUAUUCUCAAGUAUUAGUAGCUGAGUUGUCAAUUCAACCACACCUGGAAACUUAGUAUCUGCAGCAAAGUGUUUAGUAGCAAAGUAAUAUGAUAGUGGUGGUAGCGGCAACAAAAGUAAAGACAGCAAAAGUAAUGUUUUUGGUAUUUUGUAGUGAUUGUAACAAUAGCAGCGGGAAAGUAAAUAAGCGUAAACCAGUAUAUGGAAAACUCGUGGGCACCGGAUCAAUGAUGGAUAAUUAUGCCGGAUGCGGUUCAUCAUGUAACAGUCAUAACAUAGGGUGACACGGAACUAGGUCCAAUUCAUCAAUGUAAUGUAGGCAUGUAUUCCGUAAAUAGUCAUACGUGCUUAUGGAAAAGAACUUGCAUGACAUCUUUUGUCCUACCCUCCCGUGGUAGUGGGGUCCUAUUGGAAACUAAGGGAUAUUAAGGCCUCCUUUUAAUAGAGAACCGGAACAAAGCAUUAGCACAUAGUGAAUACAUGAACUCCUCAAACUAUGGUCAUCACCGGGAGUGGUCCCGAUUAUUGUCACUUCGGGGUUGCCGGAUCAUAACACAUAGUAGGUGACUAUAGACUUGCAAGAUAGGAUCAAGAACUCACAUAUAUUCAUGAAAACAUAAUAGGUUCAGAUCUGAAAUCAUGGCACUCGGGCCCUAGUGACAAGAAUUAAGCAUAGCAAAGUCAUAGCAACAUCAAUCUCAGAACAUAAUGGAUACUAGGGAUCAAACCCUAACAAAACUAACUCGAUUACAUGAUAAAUCUCAUCCAACCCAUCACCGUCCAACAAGCCUACGAUGCAAUUACUCACGCACGGCGGUGAUCAUCAUGAAAUUGGUGAUGGAGGAUGGUUGAUGAUGACGACGGCGACGAAUCCCCCUCUCUGGAGCCCCGAACGGACUCCAGAUCAGCCCUCCCGAGAGAUUUUAGGGCUUGGCGGCGGCUCCGUAUCGUAAAACACGAUGAUUUCUUCUCUCUGAUUUUUUUUCUCAUCGAAACUCAAUAUAUGGAGGUAGAGUUGGAGUCGGACACGCAAUAGGGGGCCCAUGAGGUAGGGGGGCACGCCCUAGGGGGGCGCACCCCCACCCUCGUGAGAAGGGUGUGGGCCCCCUGGUCUUCAUCUUUGGCGAGGAUUUUUUAUUGUUUUUUCUAAGAUGUUUCGUGGAGUUUCAGGUCAUUCCGAUAAUAUUUGUUUUCUGCACUAAAACAACACCAUGGUAAUUCUGCUGAAAACAGCGUCAGUCCCGGUUAGUUCCAUUCAAAUCAUACAAGUUAGAGUCCAAAACAAGGGCAAAAGUGUUUGGAAAAGUAGAUACGACGGAGACGUAUCAAUACGUAUGUGGGCGAUGAAAUGAACCCAUCCAUCUCCUUCCACCUACGUCAUAUUUCGUCCUUUCUCAACCUCCAUAGUGUAGGGGCCCCCAGGAGCCUCAAAGGUCAAAGAGUCUCCGGUCAGCUUGUUGAAUUCUGACCUCACAUUGCAUGGGACGAUCUGUGUACAAAAAGCAAAAUGAUAUAUACACGAUGCAUUAAUGCCAAUAAUACUAAAAACAAAAUAGUGGUUACUACUUUCAUAUAAUUUAUUACCGCUGCAUGCAGAAAACUAGACUCGAAGUAGAUGCCGAACAGCGUGCCAGUUGCAAGGCUGCUGGCGCACCUUGACUUGCACCGUCGACAUGGUGGUGGUGGGGGUGGUGCCAUUUCCCUAAAGCAAUAUGAUUAAAGGAUUAACGAUCCAAAAGGUAAACAUAAAGUUUUCAAUACACAUCAGGUUUUGAAUAAUAUACACAUCAGGUUCACAUCAUAGAGAAUACACAUCAGGUUCACAUGGCAAGCAAAAUAACAACUAAAUUGUAGUUCUGUUCAGACAAUAACCUAAUAGAGAUCAUGUAACCCAAAUAGAGCCUAAUAAUAAGAUAAAUGGCAUAUUGCCAUUAUUGCGCAAGUAGACAAGCAAAAGUAGUUCAAUCGAGAGAGAGAACCCAUCUCUAAACCCUAGGACACUAGGCACCGCCGCCGCCGCCACUAAACAAAAGUCAUGGCAGGACGAGAGAGAGAACCCCUCUCUAAACCCUGGAACACUAGGCACCGCCGCCGCCACUACUCUAGGGACAGCAGCCAAGGAAGAAGAAACCAAGCCUCCGCCCUUCUGCUGCCCUUAAUCCCCCCCUCGCUCAGGUCAGUUCACUUGCUCCCUUCUGCUACCCUCAAUCCCACCUCCCGCCUCUACCCGCUUCCUUCUCUGUCUCCUGGAUUCGACCAAGUUUGGCUGACCAAACUUGUGCAUCUGGAUUAGUUCCUCAAUUAACCCCUCUCUAUACUCUCACCUAACCCCUCUCACCUAACCCCUCUCUUGCAUCACUGAGGCUCGGCGCCCGGGCUGCUCUCGCCGGGAGGCCCUGCUGCUCUUCUGGGCCGUGCUCAGUGGCACCAACCCCGACUACGUGCUCUAUAAGGACGCCACCAAACCAUCAACACACGCUGCCUCUCCAGUCCGGUGCUAAAAAUGGACAAAACCUGCAUCAGCUUCACCGACGAGCAGAGUCGUACUAAUAACUACACCUUCACCGCUUUAAUCUCCAACAACAAGGGUCAGCGUCAGCGAUGAACAGUCACAGUUCGUUUGGCAAGGGCAGCACAGUUCAUUCGAUUUGGGUCGAUUUGGAUCCAUCAGAUACCCUGGCGAAUUGCUGACCUAAUUAACUUGCCGCCCUCUCCGCCAUUCUCCUGCUCCUUCCCCUUCCCAUUCUUCCUGGUCCUCUGCUUGCCGAUCGCCGACUCCCUGCUCUCUCGCUGCUGCUCCUCCCACCGCGCGCUGUCCAGCAGCUCCCGCCGCCUCCUGUACCUCUCUUGCAGUGCUCCCGCCGCCCAACAAAAAGCCUAUACUUCUCUCUCACCUAACCCCUCUCUCCCUACUCUCUCCCCAAUCAUGUGAGGAAACAAGCCUGGAACACGUCGCAUCGAAGCGUGGAGCCACCGUGCAAUCCCUAAAUCCCUUUCCCCCACGUGAAAUCCCAAAACAUGGCAAGCCGCCGCGGUGAAUCGAUCGGAGCCUAGCUAGCUAGUGGAGGCGCACGUGGGGAGGAGGAGAUUGAGGGGGACUUACGGGGCUGGAGUGAUACGUCUCCAACAUAUCUAUAAUUUUUGAUUGCUCCAUGCUAUAUUAUCUACUGUUUUGGACAUUAUUGGGCUUUAUUAUCCACUUUUAUAUUAUUUUUGGGACUAACCUAUUAACCGGAGGCCUAGCCCAGAAUUGCUGUUUUUUGCCUGUUUUAGGGUUUCGAAGAAAAGGAAUAUCAAAUGGAGUCCAAACGGAAUUAAACCUUCGGGAACAUGAUUUUCUCAACGAACAAGACCAGGGAGACUUGGACCCUAUGUCAAGGAAUAAAAGAGGAGGCCACGAGGUAGGAGUGCGCCUACCCCUCCCCCUCCCCCCACCCCAAGCAUGCCCUCCACCCUCGUGGGCCCCCUGUUGCUCCACCGACGUACUCCUUCCUCCUAUAUAUACCUACGUACCCCCAAACGAUCAGAUACGGAGCCAAAAACCUAAUUCCACCGCCGCAACUUUCUGUAUCCAUGAGAUCCCAUCUUGGGGCCUGUUUCGGAGCUCCGCCGGAGGGGGCAUCGAUCAUGGAGGGCUUCUACAUCAACACCAUAGCCCCUCCGAUGAAGUGUGAGUAGUUUACCUCAGACCUACGGGUCCAUAGUUAGUAGCUAGAUGACUUCUUCUCUCUUUUUGGAUCUCAAUACAAUGUUCUCCCCCUCUCUUGUGGAGAUCUAUUCGAUGUAAUCUUGUUUUUGCGGUGUGUUUGUUGAGACCGAUGAAUUGUGGGUUUAUUAUCAAGUCUAUCUAUGAAUAAUAUUUGAAUCUUCUCUGAAAUCUUUUAUGUAUGAUUGGUUAUCUUUGCAAGUCUCUUCGAAUUAUCAGUUUGGUUUGGCCUACUAGAUUGAUUUUUCUUGCAAUGGGAGAAGUGCUUAGCUUUGGGUUCAAUCUUUCGGUGUCCUUUCCCAGUGACAGUAGGGGCAGCAAGGCAUGUAUUGUAUUGUUGCCAUCGAGGAUAACAAGAUGGGGUUUUCUUCAUAUUGCAUGAGUCUAUCCCUCUACAUCAUGUCAUCUUGCUUAAGGCGUUACUCUGUUUUUAACUUAAUACUCUAGAUGCAUGCCUGGAUAGCGGUCGAUGAGUGGAGUAAUAGUAGUAGAUGCAGGCAGGAGUCGGUCUACUUGUCUCGGACGUGAUGCCUAUAUACAUGAUCAUACCUAGAUAUUCUCAUAACUAUGCUAUAUUCUGUCAAUUGCUCAACAGUAAUUUGUUCACCCACCGUAGAAUACUUAUGCUCUCGAGAGAAGCCACUAGUGAAACCUAUGGCCUCCGGGUCUAUCUUUAUCAUAUUAAUCUCCUACUACUUAGUUAUUUCCUUUGCUAUUUACUUUGCCUUUAUUUUACUUUGCAUCUUUAUCAUAAAAAUACCAAAAAUAUUAUCUUAUCAUAUCUAUCAGAUCUCACUCUCGUAAGUGGCCUUAUAGGGACUGACAACCCCUAUUUGCGUUGGUUGCGAGGAUUUAUUUGUUUUGUGCGGGUGCGAGGGACUCGCGCAUAGCCUCCUACUGGAUUUAUACCUUGGUUCUCAAAAAGUGAGGGAAAUACUUACGCUACUUUGCUGCAUCAUCCCUUCCUCUUCGGGGAAAACCAACGCAGUGCUCAAGAGGUAGCAAGAAGGAUUUCUGGCGCCGUUGCCGGGGAGGUCUACGCAAAAGUCAACAUACCAAGUACCCAUCACAUACCCUAAUCUCCCGCAUUACAUUAUUUGCCAUUUGCCUCUCGUUUUCCUCUCCCCCCACUUCACCCUUGCCGUUUUAUUCGCCCUCUCUCUCUAUCCUCCCUCUCUUUCUCUAUUUGCCUCUUUUUGUCCGCUUGCUUUUUGUUUGCUUGUGUGUUAGUUUGCUUGCUUGUCAUGAUGGCUCAAGAUAAUACUAAAUUAUGUGACUUCACCAAUACCAACAGCAAUGAUUUUAUUAGCACUCUGAUUGCUCCUCUUACCGAUGCUGAAUCUUGUGAAAUUAAUACUGCUUUGUUGAAUCUUGUCAUGAAAGAUCCAUUUUCCGGUCUUCCUAGUGAAGAUGCCGCUACCCAUCUGAAUAGCUUCAUUGAUUUGUGUGACAUGCAAAAUAAGAAAGAUGUGGAUAAUGAUAUUGUUAAAUUGAAGCUAUUUCCUUUUUCGAUUAGAGAUCGUGCUAAAGCUUGGUUUCGUCUUUGCCUAAAAAUAGUAUUGAUUCAUGGAACAAGUGCAAAGAUGCUUUUAUCUAUAAGUAUUUUCCUCCCGCUAAGAUCGUCUCUCUUAGAAAUGAUAUUAUGAAUUUUAAGCAACUUGAUCAUGAACAUGUUGCACAAGCUUGGGAGAGAAUGAAAUUAAUGAUACGUAAUUGCCCUACUCAUGGUUUAAAUUUGUGGAUGAUUAUUCAAAAAAUUUAUGCCGGAUUGAAUUUUGCUUCUAGAAAUCUUUUAGAUUCGGCCGCGGGAGGCACUUUUAUGGAAAUCACUUUAGGAGAAGCUACUAAACUCCUAGAUAAUAUUAUGGUUAAUUAUUCUCAAUGGCAUACUGAAAGAUCUACUAAUAAAAAGGUGCAUGCGAUAAAAGAAAUUAACGUUUUGAGUGGAAAGAUGGAUGAACUUAUGAAAUUAUUUGCUAAUAAGAGUGUUUCUUCUGAUCCUAAUGAUAUGCCCUUGUCUACUUUGAUUGAGAAUAAUAAUGAAUCUAUGGAUGUGAAUUUUGUUGGUAGGAACAAUUUUAGUCCUAGGCCUUAUCCAAGUAAUCCCUCUAAUGUUAUGGUAAUUCCUACAUCAAUUCUUAUGGAAAUUAUAAUAAGAUGCCCUCUGAUUUUGAAUCUAAUAUUAAAGAAUUUAUUACUUCGCAAAAGAAUUUUAAUGCUAUGAUUGAAGAAAAAUUGCUUAAGAUUGAUGAUUUGGCUAGGAACGUUGAUAGAAUUGCUCUUGAUGUUGAUUCUUUGAAACUUAGAUCUAUUCCACCUAAGCAUGAUAUCAAUGAGUCUCUCAAAGCGAUGAGAAUUUCCAUUCAUGAGUGCAAAGAAAGAACCGCUAGGAUGCGUUCUAAGAAAGAUGCCUUUAUAAGAGCGUGUUCUUCUAGUUCCUAUGAAAAUAAAGAUGAAGAUCUAAAAGUUAUUGAUGUGUCCCCUAUUAAAUCUUUGUUUUUCAAUAUGAAUCUUGAUAAUGAUGGGACUCAAUAUGAUCCACCUUUACCUAGAAGGCGUUCCAAGAAUUCGGAAUUUGUUGAUCUUGAUGCUAAAUUUGAUAAAAGUGGGAUUGAAGAAAUUAAAACCCUAGAUGUUGCUAAACCCACUUUUAUGGAUUUCAAGGAAUUUAACUAUGAAAAUUGCUCUUUGAUUGAUUGUAUUUCCUUGUUGCAAUCCGUGCUAAAUUCUCCUCAUGCUUAUAGUCAAAAUAAAGCGUUUACUAAACAUAUCGUUGAUGCCUUGAUGCAAUAUUAUGAAGAAAAACUUGAAUUGGAAGUUUCUAUCCCUAGAAAGCUUUAUGAUGAGUGGGAACCAAAUAUUAAAAUUAAAAUUAAAUAUCAUGAAUGCUAUGCUUUAUGUGAUUUGGGUGCUAGUGUUUCCACGAUUCCAAAGACUUUGUGUGAUUUGUUAGGUUUCCGUGAUUUUGAUGAUUGCUCUCUAAACUUGCACCUUGCGGAUUCCACUAUUAAGAAACCUAUGGGAAGAAUUAAUGAUGUUCUUAUUGUUGCAAAUAGGAAUUAUGUGCCCGUAGAUUUAUUGUUCUUGACAUAGAUUGCAAUCCUUCAUGUCCUAUUAUUCUUGGUAGACCUUUCCUUAGAACGAUUGGUGCAAUUAUUGAUAUGAAGGAAGGAAAUAUUAGAUUCCAAUUUCCAUUAAGAAAAUGCAUGGAACACUUACCUAGAAACAAAAAUUAAAUUACCUUAUGAAUCUAUUAUGAGAGCCACUUAUGGAUUGCCUACCAAAGAUGGCAAUACCUAGAUCUAUUCUUGCUUGUUAUGCCUAGCUAGGGGCGUUAAACGAUAGCGCCUGUUGGGAGGCAACCCAAUUUUAUUUUUAUUCCUUGCUUUUUGCUCCUGUUUAGUAAUAAAUAAUUUAUCUAGCCCCUGUUUUGGUAGUAUUUUUUGUGUUUAAUUAGUGUUUGUGCCAAGUAGAACCGUUGGGAAGACUUGGGGAAAGUCUUGUUGAACUUGCUGUAAAAAACAGAAACUUUAGCACUCACGAGAACUGCUGUCAUUUUUUUUUGGAAAGUGCUAUUUAGUUAAUUCUUUUUGAAGAUGAUUAAUAGAUAAAUUCCUCACGUCCAGAAAUUUAUUUUAGAACUUUUGGGGUUCCAUAUCUUGCGCUAGCUACAGAUUACUACAGACUGUUCUGUUUUUGACAGAUUCUGUUUUUCUUGUGUUGUUUGCUUAUUUUGAUGAAUCUAUGGCUAGUAAAAUAGUUUAUAAACCAUAUAGAAGUUGGAAUACAGUAGGUAUCACACCAAUAUAAAUAAAUAAUGAGUUCAUUACAGUACCUUGAAUUGGUAUUUUAUUUUCUUUCGCUAACGGAGCUCACGAGAUUUUCUACUUUAAGUUUUGUGUUGUGAAGUUUUCAAGUUUUGGGUAAAGAUUUGAUGGAUUAUGGAACAAGUAGUGGCAAGAGCCUAAGCUUGGGGAUGCCGAUGGCACCCCCAAGAUAAUCUAAGGACACCUAAAAGCCAAAGCUUGGGGAUGCCCCGGAAGGCAUCCCCUCUUUCGUCUACUUCUAUCGGUAAAUUUACUUGGAGCUAUAUUUUUAUUCGCCACAUGAUAUGUGUUUUGCUUGGAGCGUCUUGUAUUAUUUGAGUCUUUGAUUUUUAGUUUACCACAAUCAUCCUUGCUGUAAACACCUUUUGAGAGAGCCAUGCAUGAUUUGGAAUUUGUUAGAAUACUCUAUGUGCUUCGCUUAUAUCUUUUGAGUUAUAUAAUUUUGCUCUAGUACUUCACUUAUAUCUUUUAGAGCACGGUGGUGGAUUUGUUUUAUAGAAACUAUUGAUCUCUCAUGCUUCACUUAGAUUAUUUUGAGAGUCUUGAUAGCAUGGUAAUUUGCUUAAAAUCCUAAUAUGCUAGGUAUUCAAGAAUAAAAAAAUUCUCUUAUGAGUGUGUCGAAUACUAUGAUAAGUUUGAUACUUGAAAAUUGUUUUGAGAUAUGGAGAUGGUGAUAUUAAAGUCAUGCUAGUUGAGUAGUUGUGAAUUUAAGAAAUACUUGUGUUGAAGCUUGUGAUUCCCGUAGCAUGCACAUAUGGUGAACCGUUAUGUGAUGAAGUCGGAGCAUGAUUUAUUUAUUGAUUGUCUUCCUUAUGAGUGGCGGUCGGGGACGAGCGAUGGUCUUUUCCUACCAAUCUAUCCCCCUAGGAGCAUGCGCGUAAUACUUUGCUUUGAUAACUUGUAGAUUUUUGCAAAAAGUAUAUGAGUUCUUUAUGACUAAUGUUGAGUCCAUGGAUUAUACGCACUCUCACCCUUCCACCUUGGCUAGCCUCUCUAAUACCGCGCACCUUUUGCCGGUAUCAUACACCCACCAUAUACCUUCCUCAAAACAGCCACCAUACCUACCUAUUAUGGCAUUUCCAUAGCCAUUCCGAGAUAUAUUGCCAUGCAACUUUCCACCGUUCCGUUAUCGAGUUGUAAAUGUUGAGUUGUAAGAAAAAUAAAAGUGUGAUGAUCAUCAUUAUUAGAGCAUUGUCCCAGUGAGGAAAGGAUGAUGGAGACUAUGAUUCCCCCACAAGUUAGGAUGAGACUCCGGACGAAAAAUAAAUAAAAGAGGCCAAAGAAGCCCAAAUAAAAAAAAGAGAAAGAAAAGAGGCCAUAAAAAAGAGAAAAGGCCCAAAUAAAAAAAUAUGAGAGAAAAAGAGAGAAGGGACAAUGUUACUAUCCUUUUACCACACUUGUGCUUCAAAGUAGCACCAUGAUCUUCAUGGUAGAGAGUCUCUCAUGUUAUCACUUUCAUAUAGUAGUGGGAAUCUUUCAUUAUAGAACUUGGCUUGUAUAUUCCAAUGAUGGGCUUCCUCAAAUUGCCCUAGGUCUUCAUGAGCAAGCAAGUUGGAUGCACACCCACUUAGUUUCUUUUUGAGCUUUCAUAUACUUAUAGCUCUAGUGCAUCCGUUGCAUGGCAAUCCCUACUCACUCACAUUGAUAUCUAUUUAUGGGCAUCUCCAUAGCCCAUUGAUACGCCUAGUUGAUGUGAGACUAUCUUCUCCUUUUUGUCUUCUCCACAACCACCACUCUAUUCCACCUAUAGUGCUAUAUCCAUGGCUCACGCUCAUGUAUUGCAUGAAGAUUGAAAAAGUUUGAGAAUGUCAAAAGUAUGAAACAAUUGCUUGGCUUGUCAUUGGGGUUGUGCAUGAUUUAAAUAUUUUGUGUGGUGAAGAUAGAGCAUAGCCAAACUAUAUGAUUUUGUAGGGAUAACUUUCUUUUGCCAUGUUAUUUUGAGAAGACAUAAUUGCUUUGUUAGUAUGAUUGAAGUAUUAUUAUUUUUUAUGUCAAUAUGAACUUUUGUCAUGAAUCUUUCGGAUCUGAAUAUUCAUACCACAAUUAAGAAGAAUUACAUUAAAAUUAUGCCCAGUAGCACUCCGCAUCAAAAAUUCUGUUUUUAUCAUUUACCUACUCGAGGACGAGCAGGAAUUAAGCUUGGGAAUGCUUGAUACGUCUCCAACAUAUCUAUAAUUUCUGAUUGCUCCAUGCUAUAUUAUCUACUGUUUUGAACAUUAUUGGGCUUUAUUAUCCACUUUUAUAUUAUUUUUGGGACUAACCUAUUAACCGGAGGUCUAGCCCAGAAUUGUUGUUUUUUCCUAUUUUAGGGUUUCAAAGAAAAGAAAUAUCAAAGGGAGUCCAAACGGAAUGAAACCUUCGGGAACGUGACUUUCUCAACGAACAAGACCAGGGAGACUUGGACCCUACGUCAAGAAAGAAAAGAGGAGGCCACGAGGUAGGGGGCGCGCCUACCCCCCCCCCCCCAGGCACGCCCUCCACCCUCGUGGGCCCCCUGUUGCUCCACCGACGUACUCCUUCCUCCUAUAUAUACCUACGUACCCCCAAACGAUCAGAUACGGAGCCAAAAACCUAAUUCCACCGCCGCAACUUUCUGUAUCCACGAGAUCCCAUCUUGGGGCCUGUUCCGGAGCUCCGCCGGAGGGGGCAUCGAUCACGGAGGGCUUCUACAUCAACACCAUAGCCCCUCCGAUGAAGUGUGAGUAGUUUACCUCAGACCUACGGGUCCAUAGUUAGUAUCUAGAUGGCUUCUUCUCUCUUUUUGGAUCUCAAUACAAUGUUCUCCCCCUCUCUUGUGGAGAUCUAUUCGAUGAAUCUUGUUUUUGCGGUGUGUUUGUUGAGACCGAUGAAUUGUGGGUUUAUGAUCAAGUCUAUCUAUGAAUAAUAUUUGAAUCUUCUCUGAAUUCUUUUAUGUAUGAUUGGUUAUCUUUGCAAGUCUCUUCGAAUUAUCAGUUUGGUUUGGCCUACUAGAUUGAUCUUUCUUGCAAUGGGAGAAGUGCUUAGCUUUGGGUUCAAUCUUGCGGUGUCCUUUCCCAGUGACAGUAGGGGCAGCAAGGCACGUAUUGUAUUGUUGCCAUCGAGGAUAACAAGAUGGGGUUUUCUUCAUAUUGCAUGAGUCUAUCCCUCUACAUCAUGUCAUCUUGCUUAAGGCGUUACUCUGUUUUUAACUUAAUACUCUAGAUGCAUGUUGGAUAGCGGUCGAUGAGUGGAGUAAUAGUAGUAGAUGUAGGCAGGAGUCGGUCUACUUGUCUCGGACGUGAUGCCUAUAUACAUGAUCAUACCUAGAUAUUCUCAUAACUAUGCUCAAUUCUAUCAAUUGCUCAACAGUAAUUUGUUCACCCACCGUAGAAUACUUAUGCUCUCGAGAGAAGCCACUAGUGAAACCUAUGGCCCCCGGGUCUAUCUUUAUCAUAUUAAUCUCCUACUACUUAGUUAUUUCCUUUGCUAUUUACUUUGCCUUUAUUUUACUUUGCAUCUUUAUCAUAAAAAUACCAAAAAUAUUAUCUUAUCAUAUCUAUCAGAUCUCACUCUCGUAGGUGGCCUUAUAGGGACUGAUAACCCCUAUUUGCGUUGGUUGCGAGGAUUUAUUUGUUUUGUGCAGGUGCGAGGGACUCGCGUGUAGCCUCCUACUGGAUUGAUACCUUGGUUCUCAAAAACUGAGGGAAAUACUUACGCUACUUUGCUGCAUCAUCCCUUCCUCUUUGGGGAAAACCAACACAAUGCUCAAGAGGUAGCAUGGAGCAUCGGAGGAGGCGAGAGGCGACCGCGCGUGGCGGCGGCGCACUGCGCCGUCGACGGGGGUGAGGUGGCCGAGGAGGAACCCUAACCAUGGCGUCGGCGUUGUCAGGCGGAGGUGAUCGAUAGUGUGAGAGAGAGGGGGUGGGGGCGCUCAGGCCGGUUUUAUUUUCCUCUAGUAGUAGCGUUGGGUAGAGGCCGGCGCUACUGCUAAUCCCAGCAGUUGUAGCGCCCGUUCGAAACAAACGCUACAGGUAAGUGGGCUACCUUUUUGCCCUGCGGCCCAUGUAACAACAACGCAGCCAAAGCUAACAAACGUUGUUGUUAUUUAGUAGUAGAAGCGUGUUUUCUACCCAGCACUACUGGUAAAUACCAGUAGCGUGGGGUCAUAAACAUGCGCUACUGGUAAACUUCUAUCUAUAGGCACUUUCCUAGUAGUGGGAGGUGACAUGUUCCCUCUCGGAACCACGAGCCUUUUUGAGGGAAGCUCCGGUUUGCAAGAAGCUUACACCAAAGCUUGUCCCAAUUCGGCCAAAAAAAUUACCACAGCAUGUUGGUGCCAUGUCAUAACACCAUGCCAAGUUUCAUGAUUUUUAGGCGUGUUUUGGAAUUACAGGAAUUAAAGAACCAAGUUUCUCAAUCUUUCCGGCCGAGCCACGACGCCCAGAUAUUUGAAUUUCACUCCGAUCUCUUGCAUGGGACCUAGAAAUUCACCCAAGGACACACAUGUGAUUUCUCAAACAACUUUGGUGCACUCGACCAUGUGCUUGUAGUUUAAAUUUGAAUUAUCCACAUUAAAUUCCUAGAAACUCAAUUAAUGUAUAAAAAAGGUGAAACAAACCCGGAAUAAUUCCAAAAUUUAGCACGGUACUUCUAUUUGGUCUAAUCUGGCUGUGUAAAAAAAUUAAGGUGGGAGAAGGCAGUGUACGUAUGUCGUUUCGCACACGGAGGUGACACGUUCCCUCUUGGAACCAUGAGCCUUCUUGAGGGAAGCUCCGAUUUGUAAGAAGUUUACACCAAAGCUUGUCCCAAUUCGGCAAAAAACUUACCGCAGCAUGUUGGUGCCAUGUCAUGAGACCAUGCCAAGUUUCAUGAUUUUCAGGCGUAUUUUGGAAUUACAGGAAUUAAAAAACCAAGUUUCUCAAUCUUUCCGCACUAGUACAGUGCUACCUCUUGAGCAUGUGUUGGUUUUCGCUUGAAGAGGAAAGGGUGAUGCAACAAAGUAGCGUAAGUAUUUCCCUUAGUUUUUGAGAACCAAUGUAUCAAUCCAGUAGGAGACUACACGCAAGUCGCCUAGUACAUGCACAAACAAUCAAGAACCUUGCAACCAACGCGAUAAAGGGGUUGUCAAUCCCUUCACGGCCACUUGCAAAAGUGAGAUCUGAUAAAGAUAAUAAGAUAAAAAAAAUUUGUAUUUUUUGUAUAGAUUGAAAAAUAAAGAUUGCAAAAUAAAUAGUAAACUAGAAUUGUAGAUCGGAAACUUAUAUGAUGUAAAGUAGACCCGGGGGGCAUAGGUUUCACUAGUGGCUUCUCUCAAGAUAACAUAUAUUACGGUGGGUGAAUAAAUUACUGUCGAGCAAUUGAUAGAAAAGCGCAUAGUUAUGAUGAUAUCUAGGCAUGAUCAUGAAUAUAGGCAUCACGUCCGUGUCAAGUAGACCGAAACAAUUCUGCAUCUACUACUAUUACUCCACACAUCGACCGCUAUCCAGCAUGCAUCUAGAGUAUUAAGUUCAUAAGAACAGAGUAACGCAUUAGGCAAGAUGACAUGAUGUAGAGGGAUAAACUCAAGCAAUAUGAUAUAAACCCCAUCUUUUUAUCCUCGAUGGCAACAAUACAAUACGUGCCUUGUUGCCCCUACUGUCACUGGGAAAGGACACUGCAAGAUUGAACCCAAAGCUAAGCACUUCUCACAUCACAAGAAAGAUCAAUCUAGUAGGCCAAACUAAACCGAUAAUUCGAAGAGACUUGCAAAGAUAUCAAAUCAUGCAUAUAAGAAUUCAGAGAAGAAUCAAAUAUUGUUCAUAGAUAAUCAAAUUCAUAAACUCACAAUUCAUCGGAUCUUAGCAAACACACCAUAAAAGAAUUAUAUCGAAUAGAUCUCUAAGAACAUCGAGGAGAACUUUGUAUACAAAACCAAAGAGAGAGAAGAAGCCAUCUAGCUAAUAACUAUUGACCCGAAGGUCUAUGGUAAACUACUCACACAUCAUCGGAGAGGCUAUGGUGUUGAUGUAGAAGCCCUCUGUGAUCGAAUGCCCCUCCGGCAGAUCGCUGGAAAAGGUCCCUAGAUGGGAUCUCACGGGUACAGAAGGUUGCGGUGGUGGAAAAGUGGUUUCAUGGCUCCCCUGGAUGUUUUCAGGGUAUAAGAGUAUAUAUAGGCGAAAGAAGUAGGUCGGUGGAGAUACAAGGGACCCAUGAGCACUACUGCAGGAUGCUGCUAAUGCGACACUACGAUCAAAGACCCUUCGAGAAACUGUGUGCGAUGCAAUAAUCGCAAACGGUGCUAGGUGAAAACCGUCAGAAAUGUGUAAAACGUUUGCGAUGACGGAUGCAUCAAACACGAUUCAGUUUUUAGUUGCGUGUGUGAUGAAGGGCAUAUGGUUCAGUUCAACUAACUGUUUGUGAUGAGUAGGAACAAAAGAAACGAGCAGCCAGAUGAAGGCGUGUGCAAUACACAGUAUACGGUUCACUCGGAUGAACUAUUUGUGAUUAGGCAACACAAAAGAAACGGUCAGCCCGAUCAAGGUGUGUGUGAUGUACAGCAUACGGUUCACCCGGAUGAACUGUUUGUGAUUAGGCAAUAGAACUGAAAUGGUUCAAUAUAACAAGAUGUGUGUGAUACGCGGCAAACAAGUCUGUAAUCAGAAAUGUGUGCAAAGACCGAUAAUAACGUAGACGAUUGCUUCUAAUAAGACGUAUGUGAUGUGCUCUAUCUACACAACAUCUAUUGGCCAUUGUGGGAAGGGCGGUCAUCCGGAUAUGCCAUAAGGAUGUGAAGAGGCAUUCCUAUCAGCAAGGACUAGUUGUUCCACCAGUAGCUCAUGUAAGAAACUAUCAAGUUAAGUGUGCUCAGGCUGGAGCAGCCAUCGGAUGGGUGACUGGAUGGGAAGUUGUGUCGAUGUUAAAUUAGGUGAUGGGAUGGGUCAUUUCAGUCAAAUGACCGAAAUGCCCCAUUCCCUCAGUAAUUUAACCUCGAGGACCUUGUUUUUUAACACAUGUUAAAGAAGGUCUACCGCAUUACUUUUUGACAAUGUGCGAUACAUGGCAUACAGUUGAUCCAUCCGACCUAUUUGUGAUGGAAUAGGCCGUGUGUGUUGUGGGCAAACACUUGCUAGUAUUCAGCUGUUUGGGAUUGAUGAAUUCAACACCAACGGGUUCCCUAGUGUGGUUCGUGUUCAUCUGAUCAUCAUCUACUUCUUGUGCUAGCUCGAUGCUAAGUUUCCAUUAAUUGAUGGUGUUUUAUGAACACGCCACCGUUUUCCGCCAUUUCCUCACAUGUUUCCCGCCACCCUGCUAUAUUGCGCAUAGGGGGCAUGCAACGCAUGGAGGUGACAAGCGCAGCCUGUAGCACAUCCACCUUUUCCAAGCAUGCCAACCCACCAAAGCGCCGCCUCUGCCAUCAACCUCGUCGACGAGGAAAACAAGAAGGCGCCACGACCCGUCGAGGCCGAGGCGCUCCCCGGCAACGCGAUUGAUGACGCCGUGAUGCGCGUCAUCGCCAGGGUUGAUCAGACCUUUUGCGCAUGGCGCUUGAGCGUCGUGGAUCAAGGUAGGCAUGUCAGCACCAACAGGUUGCAGCUUGCCGCACAACCUGAUCGAUGGCGCGGCGCAGAGCAAGCUAGGAGCGUCCAUGCCGAUAGGCCGCGGCUAGCCGCACGGCGAGACCGUUGGAGCAUCGCAGAGCGAGAGGCGCAGCGCGCCGCACAUUAAGAGCGGAUCAAGCGGCGCUUGCCUGCUGUCGACACGGUGUCGCAGCUGGGUACACAUCCUGUCAGUACCCCCAUUUCUCGCCAGGAGUGGGCAGAGGCCCCCAGCGCCGUACUUGCACCAAAGUCCGGCCGCGGCGUACUUGCACCGGACGCCCGCCGCGCCGUUCGCAUGGGUGCCGUCGUUCGCCUUGUCCCCGGCCCGCUGGAUGCCAACGCGCUGGUCCGUAGGCUCGACUGCCUCCUUGGCCCAGGUGUCCACCUAGGCGCAGUAGAGGAACAUGGCCAUCGCAUCCUCGAGCUGGUGAUCUCUGAUGAAAUAGCCAACUUGGAGCUCGAGAUCGCGCUCCAUAUGUACCGCGAGCAUGUCGACCGCUUAGACGAAUGCCUGCACGAGUUCAGGCAGAGCCAAGAGCUACCCUAGGCAAGGGCUACUGGUCAUGUUCUCAUGGACACGUUUUAUUUUGAAAAGUCGUUUCGACGUGGAUAGCUAUGUAUUCACAGCAAUCGUAGUAUUGCUCUGUUUAUUACUCUGUUUCAAUGUGUGUACUCUGUUUUCCAUUCUUAUAUGUUAUGUUUCAAUGUGUGUAUUGAUAACCCACAAGUAUAGGGGAUCGCAACAGUUUUCGUGGGUAGAGUAUUCAACCCAAAUUUAUUGAUUCGACACAAGGGGAGCCAAAGAGUAUUCUCAAGUAUUACCAGCUGAGUUGUCAAUUCAACCACACCUGGAAACUUAAUAUCUGUAGCAAAGUAUUUAAUAGCAAAGUAAUAUGAUAGUAGUGGUAACGGUGGCAAAAGGUAACGGUAGCAAAAGUGAUAUUUUUGGGUUUUAUAGUGAUUGUAACAAUAGCAACAGAAAAGUAAAUAAGCGAAGAACAAUAUAUGGAAAGCUUGUAGGCAAUGGAUCAGUGAUGGAGAGUUAUGCCGGAUGCGAUCGAUCAUGUAACAGUCAUAACCUAGGGUGACACAGAACUAGCUCCAGUUCAUCGAUAUAAUGUAGGCAUGUAUUUCGAAUAUAGUCAUGCGUGCUUAUGGAAAAGAACUUGCAUGACAUCUUUUGUCCUACCCUCCUGUGGCAGCGGGGUCCUAUUGGAAACUAAGGGAUAUUAAGGCCUCCUUUUAAUAGAGUACCGGACCAAAGCAUUAACACAUAGUGAAUACAUGAACUCCUCAAACUACGGUCAUCACCGGGAGUGGUCUCGAUUAUUUUCACUUCGGGGUUGCUAGAUCAUAACACAUAGUAGGUGACUAUAGACUUGCAAGAUAGGAUCAAGAACUCACAUAUAUUCAUGAAAACAUAAUAGGUCUAGAUCUGAAAUCAUGGCACUCGGGCCCUAGUGACAAGCAUUAAGCAUAGCAAAGUCAUAGCAACAUCAAUCUCAGAACAUAGUGGAUACUAGGGAUCAAACCCUAACAAAACUAACUCGAUUACAUGAUAAAUCUCAUCCAACCCAUCAUUGUCCAGCAAGCCUACGAUGGAAUUACUCACGCACGGCAGUGAGCAUCAUAAAAUUGGUGAUGGAGGAUGGUUGAUGAUGAUGAUGGCGACGGAUUCCCCUCUCCGAAGCCCCGAAUGGACUCCAGAUCAGCCCUCCCGAGAGAGUUUAGGGUAUGCUGGCAGCUCCAUAUCGUAAAACGUGAUGAACCCUUCUCUCUGAUUUUUUUUCUCCCCGAAAGUGAAUAUAUGGAGUCAAGGUUGAGGUCGGUGGAGCGUCAAGGGGCCCACGAGGCAGGGGGCGUGCCCAGGGGGUAGGGCGCGCCCCCCACCCCCGUGGACAGGUGGAGGCCCCCCUGACGUGGAUUCUUCUUCCAGUAUUUUUUAUAUAUUCCAAAAUAAUUCUCCGUAGAUUUUCAUGUCAUUCCGAGAACUUUUAUUUCUGCACAAAAAUAACAUCAUGGCAAUUCUGCUGAAAACAGCGUCAGUCGGGUUAGUACCAUUCAAAUCAUGCAAGUUAGAGUCCAAAAAAAGGGCAAAAGUGUUUGGAAAAGUAGAUACGACGGAGACGUAUCAGUCGGUGUGUUCGAUCAACUAACAAUCACACACGGCUUCCGGCAGAGAACUGUUUGCAUUAGGCCACCUUGCACAAACGUUUGCACACAAAGAACUGUGUGGGAUGUACAUACCUACGGAAAUGAUUUUCUGGGAUUCACUGUGUGGGAUGUACAUACCUACGGAAAUGAUUUCUGGGAUUCACCGUGUGGGAUGUACAUACCUACGGAAAUGAUUUCUGGGAUUCGCCGUGUGGGAUGUACAUACCUACGAAAAUGAUUGGGUUUUCAUGCCUCACCCGAUCGCACACGGCCCCAGCCUGGGUCCCGGGAGGGCCUAUCCCCGACGAUUUCUGGGUCGUGUGGGAAGGACCCCCCCCCCCUAUCGCCCACACUCACUUGGCGACGGUUUCGAAUGCCGUCGUGGAAAGGGGUUUCAAACCGUUUGUUUAGGACGUCGUUGUACCAGUGCUCUGCAUGUUCCCUAGCGCCUACCCUCCCCCACUGCCCAAGUACAACAUGCUAGCCCAUGAAUCUUGCUUGACGCCUUACAUGUGUCAAAAAAAGAUUACCGUGACGUGCAUAAUGACUGAAUAAUGUCAAUAAACAUGAUGGCAUGCCCCGUCUCUUGCCAAGUUGUUGGUGUGCCAUUGGUAGCGUCAAUAAAUGCAUCUAGAAAGAAAAAUGAAGUUGCCUCCGCGUCGCCCCCCAGGGCGACACGGGCGGAUCCCCAGUCUCGCCGCGACCGACCCCUCCUCCUUCGCCCCUUCCCUCGCCGCCGCCGAUAGUCCCUAUCGGACAAAGCCCUGACGUGGGUUGGCAGCGGCGAGGCUGCCCCACUUCUCCUUCCCCUUCAUCGCUCCUCAUGCUGCUUCUCCCGAACCCCAUUGCCUCAGAUGCGCCGUCAUCGGUUAUCCCUGCUCUCCGUCGUCCAGCUUGGGUGGCCGGCCUGGAGUUCGCUGUCAGCGGUGAGGUAGGCUCGCAUCUGGCCACGCCCAUGGUGCGGGGCUACCAUCCCUUGAACUCGUCUCUGCCCAUAUCCAACUGGAGGUCGGGUCGUUGAUCCAAAGAGGCUACGACUAGGGGGGCUGGCCGGUACUGCCCGUCCAGGGGGACGAGCCUGGUUGUCGGGGGACCUCAUGUCUCCUAAUAUAAAUCGGCCAGGCAGUGGCCCCCCGUGCUCUUCGUGUGAAGUCCCCGUUCUACAUGUGAUAAAUCCUCUUUGAUCUGACCAUCAGUGAGUUCCGGACAUCUCCUUCGAAGGAAAACAAGGACUAGCAUAUAUGACGCUUUUUUGGACACCUUGAUUGGAUAAGGGCCCGUCGUGUCCACCCGCAAUAUUCGUAUAACCAACUUCACCAGGGUAUCGCAAAGCUCUGUUUUUGUUGACACCUUGGGACAUGUCUGCUCCAAGAUUUCCAAGGGAUCGACACAUGAGGAGAAUGCCAUGGCGUGAUUGGAGGACCUGCAAGUGGCGAAGGCGGGGUCUUGGAUGCGAUGAAGACUCUGCUUCAGGGUAUGUUCUCGCCCAUACCUGGCACGAGUUCCUGUGAGCCUGGUGGUAAGUGACAUUUAGUAGUAGCCUCCGCGAGUGGGGCGGCAACAUUGGAGGACUUCUUUCUUGGUGGUGCUCUUUUGAGUACCGAGUUGUGAUUUCCAGGGUGAAAACCCAAGGUCUAGCCUUUAUUAGUUGUGCCACUUGGUCUAGCCUUUAUUAGUUGUGCCUGGCAGUGGCCCUGUUGAAGUCAUUGUUUUGGGAACGCGGUCUUUCUCCAGAGUGAAAACCUAUGAUCUUUGAUCGGGCAAUGAUAACACUUGUGCAUUGUUGGUGAGAACCUUCUUUCUAGUCCGGGUGUUGUCUUUGGUGGUGUUAAGAGCGCUGCUACUACGAGGUGAUUGAUCACCGUGUCAUGUUUUUUUUCUCUUAUUAUUUUCUUUUUUGGCCGUGUACAUCAUGGAUGUUCUUACGCGUCUUGUUGGUGCAUAGGUUGGGCGUAAUUGGUAUCUACUUCAUAUUAAUAUAUUCCUCUUUAAAAAAAUCUAUAUCCAUUAAGCUUAAUAAGCUAUAAUAACAUAUACAAGCAAAAUUAGUAACAACUAGGAACUAGUUGGGAGAUUAGCACAUCUGGAAUUGUACAACUAGGAAGAAAUAGGCAAAGUGCCACAAUAUGAAAGUAAUACAAAUGUUACUUUAAUUUGUGCUUAUGUUUAAGAUAACAUACAUGUCCUUUCGAUGCAUGUUACAGGGCAAAAAUAGGAACAAAAAUACGAUUUCUUGCAUCUGCCAUCUAAGCAGGGGCGGAUCUGGAGCUAAUCUUACCCUGAUGCACUACUUAACCAUGGCAUAAAUUUUGCAAGCAACCGAUGCAUUAAAUAAAGACGUGUUUCAUAGCUUGUAACACGGAUUACCAAACAUAAGAGAAGUCAUAUUGUAAAAAAUUAAAAACAAAAUGCUACACUCAAAUUGUUUAAUAUAAUGCCAAAUCAAACAAAAAAAUUACUUGAAAACAUGUCUUGCAUUCUGAAAUUUGAAAACACAUCAUCAGACACAAAGGUUUAUUAACCUACAAUUAAAAAACUAGAAUUAAAAUUUUGAGUAGAAUAUAAUAAAAUGCCUAAAUCAAAGUACUUAAAUUUGCUAUAAAAGUACUUAAAAUGUUAUAAAUUACCUUUAGUACAUUCUCUUCCUUCGAGCCAUGAAAUACUCAACCACUUGAUCAUUGGUGACCUUUUUCAUUUGUUCCUUCUCCACAUAACAAAUAACAUCAUCACUCAAGCUGUCAUCGUUGAGGCGAUUGCGCAAGCAAGUUUUGACCAAUUUCAUUGCUGAGAAGCACCUGUCAACUGUAGCAGUAGCAAUAGGCCAUACAAUUACUAGUUUCAACAACCGAUAAAACAAAAGGUACAUAAUAUGCCUCCUCGUCUGCACCAUAUUUUUUGAAAGCUCGGUGAUUGUUGCUAUGUUGGAAAAGCUAUCAUCUGUGCGCACAUCAGCAAUAUAGAGCCGUAGAUCCUUAUCAAGAUCCCUCAAAUCCCUGGAAUCAAAAUCCUGAGGGUUAGCCAUACUCAUAUUGUAACAGAAGAAGAGAAAAUUACGCCGCCGCCGGUGCCGCCUGCCGCUGCCGUAGCUGUGUGGACAUUCGGAUGAUCAGAUCAACCCAGAAGACAGGAACGGAUCCAUGCUGCCGGCUGCCACAAAUCGUCAAUUCGUCUGGACUAGGGAACAUAUCAAUUCCAAUCUUUAAAUCUGUAGAAAGAUUAGCUACAGCCUACCGACUAGAGUACUACAGUAGAAGAUUAGAAGUACUAGCUAGCUAGAUUUUGCCUCUUGGCUCGAUGGUUGCCGCCGCUGCACAAGUUCUCAAUCUGUGAAUCGAUCGAUCGCCACCGGCCGCUGCACAAGUCGAUGAAUCGGGGGUCGGGAUAGAUUAGGAGACGAGGAGACGUGGUUGUUUUAGUCAGAUCGAUUGUUUUGUUCGCUACAGAGCACCAGAUGGAUAGUUUAUUGUGUUCAAUGGGCCGCUGGAAGCGGACCAAAGGAGGCCUGGUGCGCCUGGAAUAAUGGGCCCUGUAGCACAAUAUUCGGUCCACCCUGAUGCCCUGAGCUAAAUACCUGAUAUUUAAUACGUAAAAUAAAAUCAGACCCUGUAGCCUGUGCUACAGGGUUGGCCCAUUGGGCUCCACCCCUGCAUCUAAGGUGACUACUACAAAUCAUCCGACUUAUUUCCUAGCGAAAUCAGUCGGGUUGCCAGUCGUGCGAUCCAUUCUUUCCAACCCUUGAUACAUCAACGCACGCCGAGUCGCUGACCCUUCUCUCUCGCGUCGCGUUCAACCAGCCCCCGUGCUUCGAUCUCACAGCACCGCAUGUCGCCGCAGCACCGGAGAGCCGCCAUGACCAGAGCUCCAUAGCAACACCAAAACGCUACGUCUAGCGGCUGGCGAGCGCUCCGGCGGAGCUGCAAUGGAGCCGACGGCGAGCGCUCCAAUGCAACACCAAAAGCUUCCCUCGAGAGCCGCCAGCGAUGUUGCAUCGAGCCGCUGCGGUGCUGCACUGAGCCGUCGUCGAAGCUCCAAUGCAGCCGCGGCGGAGCUCCAACUACCCCGGCGGCGCUCCAUUGCAGCCCCGGCCACGCUUCAUUGCAGCGCCGGCGAUGACAGCGGAUGCUGCGAUGCAGCACGCGGCGGCCAUGGCGGAAGUUGCGAUGCAGCGCACGACGAAGACGGCGCAGGCUGCUUCACCGGAGCUGCAGUGGAGCAGCGGUGCAGCGACGCGAGGCGACGGCGGUUUGCAGCAGCGGCGAAGAGCAUGGCGUGUAGGAGCAGGCAUAGCAGAAACGCGAGUGGUGGCGGGCCGGCACUGGUGCCGAUGGCACUGCCAUGGCUGUGUUGUGCCGCAGGAAGAAGAAAAACGAGGAGAAGAAACAAGCAGCUCAACGCGUGCAGGAAAGAGAUAAGAGAAUGAAAGGAUAAGCAGCUCGUUGGGCCCACCAGACACGUGGCAAGCGUUAAAGGCGACUUACGGAGCGUGUUGAUCAGCCGGUUUAUUUUAAACGAUUUCCGCCAUCUAAACACUUACAUGCAAUACAUAGAUCCUCAACUUUAAUUAAUCGGAGCUGCUAAAUCUCAGUUAUCUGUUGGAUGUUUUGUUCGCUUUAAGAUUCGUGAUAGGUGGGUUUGUCCUUUGUUUCGGCCUGUAUAAGGCGACCAGCCGUUUCCUUGUUUUAUUGGGCCUUUUUGUAGCGUGUGUGCGUUGAUUUUGUGCUGGGCGGGUGUUCAGGCGGGCCCUUUUUUUCUUCUUUUUUUCUUUUUGUUUUUUUGUCGUUGCUUUCUGCUGCUUUCGCUCUGGAUUUUAGCCUGCUUCGCUCCCAUUUGUCUUUCCCCAUUAUUUUUUCUGUUUUCAAUUAUUUUUUGUUUUUACAUAAAUAGUACCACCUGUUUGCACAUUGAUCGAUCGCACACAAUUGCAUGUACAUUAAAUCGUGUGUAAUUACAUAUCAACUAUCGGUGUGCAAUUUUUCCUUUUCUUUUCAAGAGUAUUGUCAUCGGUCACAUCCAUCGAUCAUAGGGAGUUCCAUGUGCAUCAGCCACACACUAUUGUAUCUAUGUCAUCCGUGUGCAACUUCCUUUUUUUUCCUUUCUAAAAAUAUUUUCUUGCCGAUCAACUGGAAAUGUCGCCUCGAUUGCAAUUGCAUGUCUUCAAAGCAGCCACAACUUACUAGUGUUUUGUGGGAGAGGGAAGUUGCAUGUCUAGCACACUAGGCACGCAACUGCAAGUGUCGUCUCCGACUGCAACUGCAUGUCUUCAACGCGAUUGCAACUUAGUGUUGUUUUGUCACAGAGAGGAAAACAAUUGCAUGCCUUGUACUACACACGCAACUGCAAGUGUUGCCCUCGACUGCAAUUGCAUUGUCUUCAACGCGAUUUCAAAUUAGUGUUGUUUUGACAGAGAGAGGAAAACAAUUGCAUGCCUUGUACUACACACGCAACUGCAAGUGUUGCCCUCGAUUGCAAUUGCAUGUCUUCAACACGACUGCAACUCUAUGGUGUUUUUGUCGGGGAGGGGGUAGUUGCAUGUCUGCCACUAGGUAGACAGCUGCAAGUGAAGAUCCUGAUUGCAACUGCAUGUCUUCAACACGACUACAACGCGGUGAUGUUUUGUUGGGGGAGGAGAGCUGUUUGCAUGUGUAGGCAUGCAACUGCAAGUGUAGCCCCCGACUGCAAAUGCAUGACUUUAAUGCGUCUGCAACUGGGCGGUGUUUUGUUUGAUGGAGGGGGCUAAUUGCAUGUCUACCAGUAGUCACACAACUGCAAGUGUCGUCCCUGGCUGCAACUCAGAGAUAUUUUGGCCGAUAGUGGGGAAGCAGUGGCAUGUCUGCACUAGGCAUGCAACUGCAAGUGUCGUCCACACAACUAUGAGGUAUUCUGUUGGGUACGGGAUAGCUGCAUGUCUGCCCCUAGACACACAAUUGCAAGUGCCGCUCCCUACUGCAAUUGCAUGUCUUCAACAUGACUACAACCCAGUGAUGUUUUUGUUAGGAGGGGGGGCAGUUGCAUAUAUGCCACUAGGGUCACCGUUUCAUAUCUUUUCUUUUGUAAACGCAUGGUGAACAUUUUUUAAAAUACAUGAUGUUUUCUAGGAACAUUUUUUCCAACACACGAUGAAUAAUUUUAAGAAUAAACAAGCACUUUUUCCAAAAAAAUAUGAUAAAUGUAAACAAAAUGCUACCAUUUCUUUUUUACAGUGAGCCAAUAACUAAUUUUCAAAGGAAAUGAACAUUAAACAUUUAACAGGCAAUAGGAAAAACAGAAAAACCAAACAAAAACAGCAAAAAAUGGAUGGAAGGAAAAUCAUGCAAACUUAGUAAUUACUAAUGGCCCGGUCAUUGUGCAAGAACAAGCAGCAUCUCCAAAAACUCUCGAUAGAGUCAAAAAAUGGCUGGCUGAAAAGCACAGAGCAACCAAGAAAAUGACAAAAGGCAUUAGACGCAAUAGCAGGGCCGGCCCAACAGCGCUAGAAAAGUAGCAGACUAAAUGAUAAAUUAAAAAUGGGCUGGGCUAUUGUUGGAUGAUGUCAUCUGACUGAGACUUCGACUAAGACCUAUACAGACCCUUAAUUACUUGGUCUCCUUGAUAAUAGUAUCUCCAUCCAGCUAUCUCUCAUGUAGCCAUGCACAUGAAAGUUUUCAUAGUUUACUUAUUGUACUCUUUCCUCCAAACAUGUAUGUGUAGAGCCUUAGCUUCUUCACAAGGAUUAGUGUUAUUACUCGUUUGUUUAUCUCCUGAAAUAAAUGCACCAGUCUCUGUUUGACCCGCACGCUUUGUAUUUUGAACAACAAAAACUACCUUUUUUAUAGCUGUUCGUCAUUGUAGCUUGGCCGCACGUACUCUAAUGUAUAUGCAGCAUAUUUUUGGACAACACCAACUUCACGCGAAACAUCGACGACCCCGGUAUUUAUAUUACAUGGGGUCAUAUCACAGAGAGAAGGCCAUGCCACUCUAGAAAAGUAUAAAUGACUCCUUUAACUUGACUGCCAUCCUCAUGUGAAGUCAAUUAAAAAGAUUCCUUCCACUUUUUUCAGCCCAUGUGUAUUUUAUAUAAAUAAUAAUUCCAUGUAGACUCAAACUUAUUUAAUUCUGGAUGGGCAAACUAUUUUCAAUAGCACUGCCAAUGAUAUAAUUCACAUAUCUGAAUAGUCUGCACUAUCUUAGUUAACUGCUCCGAAUUCCGUGCAUGCGAAGAAUGGGAGAAUCCCUGACCAAACUGCGUGCAAGGGUGAACUGAUUGUUAUCUUUAGCGGAGCAUCCAGCAUCUUCACAAAUGCAAUUAGAAACAAAAACAACAUAAGAGAUAACUAAUUAGCAAUCCGACAACUAACUAGCAAUACUUUUGUUGAAUAGCCGUUGCGCGUGAGUAAACAUGGCACAAGAGGUAGAUACACCUCGUUAUUUGUGGUUUGAACCAAUCAAAUGAUUGAAGAAACUGUCGUGUCAGGAAAGACUUGCAAGCCGACCGCAACCAAUCAAUUCGUUAAGAGAGCAAGGUAGUGGCAAAUUAUAUUUUUAAAGUUCAGGAUAUUUAAUGAGUGAUUACAAAAGAUCCACAUUUGCCACAACCAGAAUCACCAAAACAUAUUAGGAUUCAAGAGGACGCGGCAUCAGGAAUUGACCAAGACUUAAUCAAAGCUUCGCAUCCUGGUUGCUCACCUACUUUGAUCGUUGCCUCAUCUUUUGGCACUUCCUCUUGAGCCUCGUCAUUCUCUUGUUCUUCCACUGCACAUUAUUUCAAACGCAAUGUACAAUAUAAUUUACAUGUAGAGUGCAAGGCAGGACACCAAAUGCAAUGUACUUUAUUUGUUGGAAACAAGAGUAUUGGGUGUCUGGAUUUAAUUCUCAUUGUGUGUGAUCAGUUUUGUUAAAUAAGGACAUGUCCUGCAAUCUAGUAUUUGGCAAAUGACAAGAUUGUAACAAAAAGGACUACUUAUAUAUGCAUUUGACAUUCAAGAAUAUGAGUUAGUAAACCAAAAAUGGAAUAGUAAAGUUAAAAGACUAGAGAAAAUUCCUUAUAUAACACUAUUUUAAAUUUUGUUUCCCUAUUUAACACUGUAAAACUAUUUCUUCCUUAUAUAACACCUUGUCUAAAUUUUAUGCCCUUUAUAACACUUCUGUCCAUUUUAAGCCUUAACAGUGUUAAAUGACACAUGAAAAGACCUAUUUGCCCCUCGUGGGCAUGUGACCAAAAAUUUCAAGUAAAAUGCAUUAUGUGGUCUCUAAAGUAGUUGACGAUGUUCAGAACUGUCCUCUAACUCAUGAACUGUCUCAAUAUGGUUCCGAAACUUACAAAUACAGUCUCAAUACGGUCGUCAAAAUUGAUGCGCCGGUCCUCCAAUAUGCAGUACGAAUUGUUAACCACCACCGAUACUAGCACUUCAUGGAAAUUGGGGCCAGAUUUUAUAUAAAAUUUCCAUCAACCAUGGCGCGUGUGCGGCGCGCGUGAGGGCUGGAACAGAUCAACAGACCAUGUUUACGUACGCAUGCAAGUUUGUGGGCAGUGCACAGCUAGAGCUAGCCCAGGCCAUGUUCACGUACAAGUACUUGUGUAGAAUCGAUCAAAGCUCUUUUUUUUCGCUAGCUUUGGGUGUAUAUAUUAUUUAUUGCUCAACAGUGGUAAGGGCAUGAGCGGCUUACGUACAUGCACUGGCGAGGCAUACGAAGAGGCGCUAACAUCAGCGGUGAACGUGAAGAUAUAGCACGUGUCCGACGUGCAAUCGGUGGUCUAAGCUAUAAUUUUCUGUCCGGUGCCGGCGGUGGUUCAUAGGUGCAGCAAGACCAACGAGGGUCGGUUGAUUUUGCUUGGGAAUUGAAUACACACAUACACAUAAAAAUUUGUCACACAUCAUCUGAGGGGCAAAUAGGUCUUUUUAGGUGUCAUGUGACAACUUUAAGGUUUAAAAUGGACAAAAGUGUUAUAAAAGGCAUAAAAUUUAGACACCGUGCUAAAUAAGGAAGCAAAAUAAAUCCAGUGUCAAAUAAGGCAAUAAAUUUUAAGAGAGUGUUAAAUAAGGAAUUCCCUCAGAAGACUAAGGGCCUGUUCUUUUGGAGCUUAUGGCUGGCUGUGGAAACAAGUUGCCCCCUCCUUACUUAUAGUUAGGCUUAUAAAAUGAAAUUUUAGGUUGAGCUUGGCAGCUUAUUUCCACACUCAGCCAUAGGCCCAAAAAAACUAGCCCUAAGCAUGUUCCCUGAGAAUUGCUUCAAUCGUCCACAUGGGUGUAAUAGAAUGGAUUAAAUCAGACUCAUCGUCAGUGAAAUAGCAGCAAAUACAGAAAAGCUGAAAAUGACAAUAACUAAACGAAUACAUUGUUGCCAUCAGUUCUUGGAGCCAUGAUGUUCAUUAGUGUUUCAUUCAAACCGACCACCAUUGUUAAUCUCAUCCAAUUCAUUCCCAUGUCUAAGAUCAAAUUACCGCAUGGAGCUUAAGCAAUAAAUCAAGUUCAGUUGUUCAACUGAGGCUUCAAUUCACUGGCAGCUACCAAUGCUGGAAGUGUCACUGGUUCAACUUUUGUUUCCCUUGUGAGGUAAAAAGAAAAUUAGGCCUCUUUUGGUUCAUAGGAUAAGAUUAUCAUAGAAAUAGGAAUUUUGUAGGAAAUGAGAUGGCAUGUAUGUCAAAUCCUAUGAGUAGGAAUAGGAAAGGAGAUGUCAUUUGGUUAACAUCAAAGGAAUUUUUCCAUUGAGUUUAGGUUCUUUUUAUUUUCCUAUAAAAUGUGGAGGGUAGGAACCAAUCCUGUGUAGCCAAAGGGCUCUAAAGGAAAAAUUCCUAUAAAAAUCCUAUCCUAUGAAAUUCCUAGAAAAUUCCUGCAAACCAAAGGAGGCCUUAAUGAACCUGCAAAUAUCUUUAGUGUUCCUGGUAUUCGUUCAUCUAGGAGCAAAGAAAAGGAGCUGUCACACCGCAAAAAGAUAAAAUAACUGACACAACAAAUGCAGGGCCAAAAGGCACAAUUCGGAGUACCUCAAGGAUAAUAGGUGCAUAAAAUUCAGUCACAAACACAUAUAAUCCUCACAUUACAUAAAACUCAGUCCUGGAACAUAGCCAGACUAGUAUUAAACAGCUAAAUUUGACCAAACACAGGUAAGGCAACUUCCACAGCCACAACCGCAUAACAAAUCAGGAAUCACUGGGACAAUGCCAUCAUCCCUCAGAGUUUCGCUGCCUGGAUGUCAGAUGAUGCUUCCCCUCCCUCCAAGGCGCCUACUUGGAUCGCUGCCUCAUCUUUCGGCGCUUCCUCUUGAGCCUCCUCAUCCUCUUCUUCUUCCACUGCACAUUAAGACGAAAUGCAGAUCAUCAGUACAAAUUGCAUAGUGCUAGAUGCGCAGGAACAUGAGAUAAUUCCACAUGAAACGAGAAAGUAGUAUGUACUUCAGAAUCAGAAGAUUGAGUGUUUCAUUGGAUAUCAUCACGUGAUUUUCAGAAACACGGACCAAUUGUCCUUCAUCAUUUCCCAAACUGCCAAUUUGGCAUUGCAAAAAGAGAACUAUUCUAAGAAGGUCGUAGCUAUCUACAAACAGGUUAGGCAAAGCAAAGUAGAUCUGCAGUCAGUUUGACAUUCAGAAUGAGUAGGAGGAUUUUAUCAUCAAAUAGAUCAGACGCCAAUUGUCUUCCUCAUCAUGCCAACCGACGCAAUUAUACAAAAUAAAAACAGUGGAAAAUGAGCUAAAGAAAUGGAUAAGCAAACGUUGUUCUCUCAGACAAAUGCCUCGAUUGUCCACACGGUGUAAUAGAAUGGAUUACAUCAGACUCGUCAUCUGUUUUCAUCAUCACAGAGAACAAUGGACAAACGAAAACAGCAAAAAAAAAACAUAAAUCUGGCUAACAUAACUAGAGGCAGUAAUUAGAUCUCAUAGAGCAAGCAAAUCUGGUCGAAAUAGCAGCGGUUCUCUCAGACAAAUUUGCCUCACUUUUGUCCCCACGGUUGAAUGGAAUGGAUUGGAUCGGACAUCUAAUCAGUGUUGAUCAUCACAGAGAACCACUAAUUACGCAAGCGAGCGGUAGCAACGGCGAGAACAAACCCUCGCUAAACACUAGCACAUGUCCAGAUCUACCUCGGUCGCGGAGCAGCUAACAACAGGGAAGGGAGAUGACGGGCAGUACGAACCUUGGCCCUCAUCGCGGCGGCGGAGUCGGUCUCGCUCUCCUGUUCGCGGCGGCGGCGGCGGCGGCGGUGUGUGGACGAACUUAGAUUGUUGACGGCGGGGGCUCUCGCCUCGUACUUAUACGGGCUGGGUGCUGAAGGGGGGGGGAAACCCUAGCGGGGUUGGACGGGUGGACGGCUCGGAUCAGCCAGUGAACGGCGUUCUGAUCCGAUUAGUAAUCUGGUUUGUGGGCCUGUUGGGCCUCCAAACAACGCCUAGGCCCACGCUAACAUUUGACUGGACUUGAUUUCCUGAAGGGGGGAAAAAGAAACUUGACCAGUCUUUACUUUUAUUCUCUUUAUUUUAUAUUACUUUAAAAAGAGUAGUGUUCCUUUUUCUGCCAGACGGAGUGAUUCGUCCAACAUUUUUUUAUAAUCACUAGCAAAAGGCCCGUGUGUUACAACGGGCCAUUGAUAUUUUAGUAUUUCAACACUGAUUGUGCACAUCAAACUGAAAUAUCUCCUUCUAUUGUUAAUUGCUAGUGAAAUAAUCGAGAGGAGAUAAUAUGCCUGAAUAGUGAAGUUGUGAGCAUAGCUUAUUUCUCCUUCUCCUUGACUCAUAUGCAUCAUUUGCUUGGGGGGCAAGCUUGUAGCAGAGUUAAACCCAAAAAAAAGUUGAAUACAAAUCAAGGGAUAUAGCAGCAUUCAACUAAAUUAGUAGUGGAGUAGAGAAGCCCUGGAGCAUAUAAAGUAAAUGAUACCUCUGACAAAGCAGGUUUAAGAAGUGGAUAGUAAGUUUGAAAACAUGAACAAUGCAUAGCAAGCUUUCGUACAUACAAAUUCCCUUGUAUUGAUGAAAACAUAAAUUCACCUAUAAAAAACUAACAAAUUUAGUUUGUAUAUAUACUCUUAGUACACAGUCGAGUCAACACAAACAAUUUGCCUAUGAAAGGAUCAAGUUGGAAUUCCAUUGCUCGAUGGGUGGACGGCUCGGAUCAGCCAGUGGACGGUGUUCUGAUCCGAUUAGUAAUCUGGUUUGUGGGCAUGUUGGGCCUCCAAACAACGCCUAGGCCCAUGCUAACAUUUGACUGGACUUGAUUUCCUGAAGGGGGAAAAAGAAACUUGACCAGUCUUUACUUUUAUUCUCUUUAUUUUAUUACUUAAAAAAGGGAAACGUUUCCUGCGGCGUGCCGGCGGAACGCUUGGCCAGUCGCGUACGCUUCGUUCGAUCGAAAGCGAUCAUGCGGCCCACGUGUGGCCUCACCCCCUCGGCCCCACAUGCUCCCUCUUCCUUAUCCCCAUAUGUUUUCUUUUCCUUAUCCCCUCAAGCACCACUCAUUUUUCUUGCUUAUCCCUCCAUGCCCACCAUUCAUCCCAUGCACCUCUCUCUCCCCCUGGCCUACCUUCAAUCAAUAGCUUGCCGGCGAUGGAAGACGUGUGUGGCGAGCUGGCAGUCCGGGGCUGCACACAUGAAGCCGCGGAGGUGCGUGAGCACGACUCUCGGCGAGCGAAGAGGCGCGACGCCAAAGCUACAUCGGCAACUUGGUAUUUCCACUUUGCAACCUGAUACGACGAGUGGAGGGUGGUUUGCUGCAACCAGUGGCCCCUACUACUACGACCAACGAGGUGGCUGUGCCGUGAAGAUGGACGACGGAUGCGGCGAUUUUUGUGCUGAAACCCACGAUAGCCUCUGCUACAACCGGCCAGCCAUUUUGCUGGAACCAGCAUCGGUAAUUGCUGCCAUCAGUCACGCGAUAUGCUGGAACCAAACGCGCACUCGUCGCCGGCGUUUUUUUUCUUUUGCUAGAGUUGGGUGUUUGAUUUUGCUGGAAGUAGCUAUCCUUUUUGCUACAAAUCGACCACACGAGUUCUCCCUGUUUUGUUGUUUCUGCUGUAUCCAAUGUCUUGUUUUGCUGGAAACAACCAUCUUUUUUGGUACAAAUCGACAACAGGAAUUCUACGUGUUUAGUUGUUUUUCUGCUGCAUCCGAUGUUUCGUUUUGCUGGAACCUAGUAUUUUUUUAUUCAACCGAUCAAUGAAGGAUUGUUGCUUUCAGAUCUUUUUGCUAGAUACUUCAGUGCAAACCGACGCCCACGGCGAGCCGAAACCAGAGCAUGGUGAUGAGCUGGAACCGGCGAGCUUGCUUUGCUGCAAUGAGCCGCAAGCUACUAUGAUCAGCAGGGCGAAGAGCUGGAACGGGCGUCCAUUUUUGCUGGGAUGGGCGCCCAAAUUUGCUGGAACAGGAGUCCCGGGUUGCUGCAUCGUUCGCCGCACAGGGGAGCUACGAUGUUGGCGAGCUGGAACCGGCGCCCAAUUUUGCUGGAGCCGGCAUCUCGACAUGCUGGAACCGUGUGAAGGCAGGCGGCGGCUGAAUGGCUGAUUCGACGCUGAUGGUGUUUUGCUGCGACCAGUGAUGGAAAAGCUUCAACCAUCGGGCGAGUUGUCGAUGGCGUGAGGGGUGACGCCGGGGUGCUGCGGCCGACAACACGGUCGGUGCUGCGCGUUCUACUACAACGAGGAGUCGACCACUAGUUGUUGCAUCCGGCCACGUUGACGCUGCCACCAGCUACAACGAGAAGAUGCCAUGGCGAGCUUCGCCGCCGACGGCCGGCAGCGAAGGUACUCGUGCGGGACGGUGAGCAGAAUUGCGCGCGGCUGCGGCCGCCCGCAAGGGAGAGCCGAUCUGGGCCUUCGUAGACUCUCGUGACAAACGAAACAGCAAGGAGGGACCGGCAGAUGGAGCGGUUAAGGUCACUUCAAUCGAGCGUUGCAUGAGGAACCGGCCGAAAUUUUGGGCCGGUCCGCCGGCGCCUAGUGCUGGCCCUUAAAAAAAAGUAGCGUUCCUUUUUCUGCCAGACGGAGUGAUUUGUCCAACAUGUUUUUCUUGGGAACCGCCUUAAUCAUCUCAUCUUUUUGGUUCAAAAAAAUCGUCUCAUCUUUUAUUGACUUAUCAAAUAAAUUAUAUUUUCUUUCAUAAGUCAAAAUAAGUGAUUACAAAAUAAAAUCAUGGGUAAGAUUUGUUAAGUAUUUUUUUACACAAUCACAUAACAUAAAGAUGUAAAUUAUGGGAUAAUGUAUUGUAAUAUAAUAUAUAAUAUUUAUGCCCCAUAGCGACACGGGCAAAUAUCUAGUUCUGCUAGCAAAAAGACUAAUUACAAAACAAUAAAACUGAGCUAGCUACACGCCACCACAGCGAUUCACCGCUUUUGGCCGUCCGAUCAUUUGUUAGACGCCCCAGAUCUUCCAAUUGUCCACUGGCGGUCGCUUGGUCAUUUUCACCGUGCCUCACCCAAUGUAAAAGGGCUGCUGCUCCGGAAAGCAACCUGUGGGUCAUGUAGUUAAUUGGGCCCAGAAGCAGCCCAAUUGGUUGUGUACGUCAGCCCAUGCUAGGUUUCCUUUCCACAUCGACAGAGAAAAGAAAAGAACAAUUCAUCCUUCUCCUCUUGUUCAUACCCACGGUGCAGGGUGUCUAAUUUCUCAUGUUCCUUUCGUGCUAGGAAGCUCGUGGGGAUUGACCAACUGUCAGUUUGUUGGAGUUUGAUCUGUCCCGAUGGGCGACAAACAUAUAGCUGACUGAAGGCACGAGUAUGGCCUAUGGACUAAAGGAUUUGUUCCUUUCCCUCGGUGGCAACAUCCUAUAUGGCAGUACCUUUUCGCCUCCUUUUACCAGCCGUAUAAUUCAGUGAGUCGUUAGUAACUGUUUUGAUUGGUUGUUAGUAUUCCGGCACUGCCUUAUAUAUGGAUAUUCAUUGUUGAUAUGUGUUACAUGGUGUGAUCCCGAUCGACUCCAAUAUGGACACCCAGGCACCACACCCAGGCUCAUGCAAAUGCUCAAAACAGCCCGGUAACGCCACCACUUGUUGAUCAAAACGUUGUCCUUCUGAGUACUGAUUAGGAUUACAUGCAACCUUCUUGCUGGAAAUACGCUUCUGAAAAAAGAUGCUAAGCUGGCCUGAUAAGAUUGGCAUUAGGCUUUUGCCGUAGGAUCCUGGAACUCUGAAUUCUAGGAACAGCACCUACCAGGUUACCUGAUGUAAUCCGUAUCCUUGCAUGAGGUUUGGAGUACGUGGUUUUUCAAUUUUUGUUGGACAGUUUUAGUCGAGUUAGGUGUGUUCAAGGAUUAGCUUUGGUUUUCCCAUUUUACUCGCUAAGAAAGGUAACUGAAAUUUUGUUUCUGCUCAAUUUCAUUAGGUUGCAAGAAAAUGACUGGUUGAAAUUGCUUUCCUAAACAAAGUAAUAGAUGUACAAUAUUGAUCAACAAAUGGGCAACAAGUCAACAACGACCCAGUAGAAAUUUUAUUGUGCUGAAUAGGGCCAAGUAUAUUAUCAAACCAUUGUUGGUAAGAGGAUAAUUUACUAUGAUUCAGUUGGCAAAGAGGCUCUGAUCUGCAGUUUAAAUGACGAAGAAAUACUGGAACAUGGGGAAGAGAAGCAUGUUUCACAAAAGAAGAAGAUCCGCUAAUAUGGUAAUAAUACAUCCUAGUUAAAUAGAUUGGUUUUUCUGUAUUACGUGCUCUUCUGUCGUGAACUGCAAUUGAUUACCACAACAUGCUAUGUUUUCAUCCGUUCAAGUCUGAAGAAUGGGUACUAUCUAUCAGUCUAUAUGUUUGAAUUUUUUUUCUAAUAUCUCUACUCCUAAUGAAGCAGUUGGUAGCCUGGUACUCCGGUUUUAUUUUCGUCCGGUUUUAUUUCGUCCCACCUCCCACCACUCCGUACUACUGGUUUUUUAUCUAUCUACAAAUCUCCCCUCCCACUGGUUUAAGCCGGUUAUCAAUUUUUGGUAAUGCAAUAAAAGUCAUACGGGAAUAAAUCAUAUCACGGUCGGCAGUUAAUCUCAAACCUGCCAAGAGAUUUGGUAACAGAAUAAAUUCAAAAGGAAGGGUGGGGGAAUGUUCCUAUACAUAAGGAUGGUAAUCUCCAUCGCAUACCAUUUACUCCAGAAUCAAUCGCAUUAAUAAUCUCCAUCGCAUAAAUAAUUACUCCAAAAUCAAUCACAAUCAUAAUCUACAUCGCAUAAUUAACUUCUUCCUAUGACCACCUCGCUCCACCAAUCCCACCUGCCGUUUUCUACCAUCACGAUCGAUUUUCUCGCGUCCUCUCCUACACGCACAAAAAUAUAGGCCCAGCCUCGACCGUGGGCUGGGACUCAUCCGUCGCGCACCGCCUGCUCUGCAACGACGCCCAACGCAACCUCUUCUUUGAUGCCCCCGCGCACCCCUCGCCGCCGCCACCAACGCCCUGCGCGUUCGCCUCUACGGCCUUGAUGAUUGCACCCGCUUUCGUGACGUCCUCGCGCUCAAGCGCCGCCGGCGCAUCCACGCCUGCGUCAGCCAUGCCGAGGAGGUUGAGGAGCCCCUCGAGCCGGCCCUUGCCCUCGCCUGCGUCAACGACCCCGCCCAUCUUGGCGGGGGCGAUUCCCCCAUCGCCCGACUCAUCUCCGACGAGUAUGGCAUCGGUGGGUACGCCGCGUCGUUCGUAUGCUUGGCAGGUUCCAGAACACCCCGCGACGUGUAUGAGGCUGCUAAGCUUGACCAUGGCGAGGGGCUCGUGCUCGAGCUCGACGAGACGCAAUUCGAUCUCGGAACCAACUACGAGCUGGAUGGUGAGACUGCAGAGCAGGCAGGGGGCGCGACGAAGAUGGAAGUGGCGGCAGUUCAAGCUUGUCGCUGCCGAAGACCCUAGAGAGGUGCGUGAAGAGACCUGGUUAGUUUUGUUGGGCCCCACUGGUAGAUGCUCCAUGUCUCCUCCUCUGGUUCCUUGUGCAUUAUUGGGUUGUCUUAAUUUUCAGUCAGGAACACGUAGCCGUGAAUUUUUUUGAUUAAUAUUGAUGUCAUCGUUACAUAUUGGUACCGGGUAGAUUUGAUGUAUUAUUGUUAAGCUCUCAAGACCAGGCCUGGUUUUACAGAUGUUUAGCGCACCGGUUCCUGUUCAUUUACAACACAGCCAUGCGAUCUAUUAAGUGAUGUUUCUCUGAAUUUAUGACAGGUAAACUGCGGUAAUAACAAAUCAGAUGUCAUCUCUCAUCUUGCCGAUUCAACCUUGGAAGAUAUGGUAGAGACGAGAGGCGGUUUGGUCCAUCUGGUGGAAGGGGGAGUGGAGAUAGUAGGAGUGGAAAGCAACUCAGUCCAUCCUGGCGGAAGGGAUAUAUAUAGGCUGACAUGUCAUCGGUGCUGGGCACCACAGGCAAGUGCUGUUUAGUUGAGUCCCAAUCACGAAUUAGAAAAAAAUUCUUUGGGUUCUUGGAUAGAUGCUUAUGGUUUGUUGCGUCAUUUUUCAGGUUCAAUAUGCUGGCUGGCGCCGAGCCUCACUACUGAGUUGAAGAACUACUUGCAACGGUUGCCAAAAGUUGUGUUAAAAAAAUAGGCCCACCUUCAUAAGGAUGAUGUAAAUUGCAGCCAUACUCAGGUUUAUUCUUUGUUCCCUGCAUAUUUUUAUUUAACCACGUUAUGUUUUAGCCACUAGAUGGAAAAUAGAAAAAGGAAACGGAGAGAAUCACUUAUUUUCGUGAUAUGAUAUUUAUUUAAUAGUGAUUGCUAUUUGUUUUGAAUAUUUAAGCAUAAGGAUACCACAAUUAAAUUAUGGUUACAACACGAAAGUUGUAGAGUAGUUAAUCUCUAUCUCUACUCCUAAAGGGGGAGUUGGUAGCCCGGUGCGCAGGUUUAUUUUCGCCUCACCGAUUUAUUCUCCCUCACCUCCCAGCAUCCCCUCCACGCUGGGUUUUCUCCGUCCGACUAAAAACCAAAUCAAUUUGCAUGAUCCUCCUUGUUUGUUUUUCGGCUAAUGUCCUCCUAUCCUAGAGCAUGUUCAUCUGACUAAUCUUCUUAGUUAAUGCCCUCCUUGCCUGGAUCAUGUUCAUCCGAUUGACAAAGGCUUGGCCAUCUUGUAAUAGUAGAUGGUGAAGUGGAUAUAUAUACUACUCCCUCCGUCCGAAAAUACUUGUCAUCAAAAUGAAUAUAAAGGGAUGUAUCUAGAACUAAAAUAUGUUUAGAUACAUCUCUUUUUAUCCAUUUUGAUAACAAGUAUUUCCGGACAGAGGGAGUGCUUCAGUUUGCAUGAGAACAACCGCUUAUAUGUGUGCCUCAAUAGUAAAGUAGGAUUGCUUGGAUUAUUUUCUGUAGUAUUUUUUCCAGUUUUAAAUGUUUAGUUUCUUAACUUAUUAUGAGGCUUGCAUCGAUCAAAGAAAUCAUGCUCCCUUGGCUUAAUCAAAUGUACUUAUGUUUGCUAAUUUAUUUUUAGUGUGUGUUUCCUCCUACUAUCUUAUUAUUCUAUAGCUAACUAUAUUUUGGAAUCUGGUGGGUGCAAAGAAAAUGGCAGUUUCUAGAUUUCUGUAGUAUUUCUGGGUAACAACAGGUUCCAAAGUGACGGGCAUUGCUAAAUCAGAUAACAUACUAUUCAAAAAGAGAACACAUUCAUCCCUUCAUUUUAGAGAUUCAAUAAAGCAAGCAAAACUUGGAAUCCAAGUCAGAAUACCAACUAUUGUACUACUGAAUGCACAUUUAUUUGCCGACAUGAAACUAUCUAUCACAUGUAGGUGUGUUUGCUCCUCGGAGCAUAGCAAAAUGAUAUGCUCUUACAUAAACAUUAUCUUGCUUACAGUGUUAAUUCAAAGCCUUAAUUCAAGGUCGGAUCUUGCUUACAAUGUCAAUAUAAUCGCUUUUAAUCUCUUUCAAGAUUAAUAAACUGCACAUGCAUGGCACGCAAAUAGGACAAACUUGACUAGAUCUACACAUAUAUUUUUAUCACUUCUAAUAUCUCAUCGACUGUUUACAUGCCAUAUUGCAUACCAAGAAUACAAGAGUGCUGACUUUAUUUUAUUUUAUUUUAUUUUAUUUUAUUUUAUUUCUGAAAUAGUUCCCAAUUAGGCUUACAAUUAUUUUAUAUUAGUGUUACUUCCUUUGUCAAGCUUAUGAAGAAUGUAUUUCCUUGAACAGUAUUUCAUCCAUUUGGAUUUAGGUGACAUGUGUGGUGGCACGAGAAAAUGGAAGGCCCUAAGCUGAAGGAGAGCAUCAAUUGACAUGAGUGAUAAGCAAUAUCUAUUAGAAACACAUACUAUCAGGCUAAUGCAAACCACUUGGGUAUGAAGUAUACUUACCACAACUUUCUAGGUGUUGAUCAACUUGUGUUUUCUUGUUAGUAAAAGAAACAUGUUGUUUUUUUGUGGUUCAUGGAUUCAUGCUCAAUGUUGAAUUAUUAUCUGAUCUGCAGAAGCAUGUCUUACUGCUGCUCAAGGUCACAUGAUUUAUAAUUUAUAACUACAAUUAUUUAAAUCAGUAUCUUGCACGAAGUCCUGACAUCUGGCUUUAUCAAAGAUUCCACUAUGUUUAUUUCUCCAUCAUAUCGCACAAUGAAUAAUAACAGUAGAUAGAUAUCCCCUUUUUAUGCAAUGAAUUUCAUGAAAUAAAACAGCGUCCAUCACCGUCUCUGAUGUAAUCUUAAGUGCACAUGCAUGGCUUAAUGUCACUGCUAUCUCGUAGUUUCACAUGCUAUUCAAGUUUACGGCAUACAGUACUUAACAUAUAAGUUGUGUCAUAGUAUUAGUGUCAUCUUUGGCUGCUUCCUUUCUUGAAUUUUCCGAUGACAGUGUACAUGCCUUAACAUAUUCGAAGUUGUUGAUUUUUUUGUUGCAAAUAUAAUAUUUAGUAAUUUAACGUGAGCCCUUGCAGGUCCAAUUAAAGCUAUUUGACCAGAAGCUAGGUGAUAUGUGCUCAAAAGAAUCUACCCUGUUAUGCACCAGUUUUUUGCCUUAACAUUGUUUCUGCAAUUACACUAUAUAUCUUGUAUUAACUGGAUUUUUAAGAUGACGAUUAAGGAAUUCAUCUACAAUUAGGAACUUACUUCGCGACAAGGAAGGUCCAGUGGUUGGGCAACAACAUGUGGAAGGAUAAUUACUGGAUACAUUUUUUUAGCGAACAACAGCGGAGCGAUUUGAUGUCUCAAAACAUGUAAGCUGACUUGCCCUCCAUGGAAUGGAAUGACUACAAAAACUUUUGUCAUUUCAUCUAAGAAUAUUUUAAAUUAGUUAAUAAAUCAUACAGACUUGAUAUUUUCUUGGUCUCAUGCAACUAUGUGUGGUUUCUUACUUUACUCCACAAUCAUCUGUGGCAAUUAUGAGGUAUUUUUCGCCAUUCGUAUUUAUUCCUUAAUUUUACUAUGAAUAUAUGAGAGUACACACCAAGGGGUUCGCAAAAAGUACAAAAAAACUAGGAGACAAGCACGAGUCACCUUAUGAGGUGAUGAUGUAGGAGACACAAUGAGGUGAAAGAGACGUGAUGGACAUAGAAGAGUAAACCCACGAGGAUAAAGAGAUGUCAUGCACAUAGAAGGAGGAAGCGAGGACCUCGAUCCACAUUAUCAAAGACAUAGAUAAGAACAAGAGUAUCACACUUCCCACAUCGACCAACUAAUGACACAUGUUGCUAUUGGGGCAUAUCACCCUCCCUUGCAUUAUACAUAUUAAUAUUAAGAUGAAACACUUCGUUGAAUGCAUUUCUAUUAUAUUGUUCUAUGGCAACACCCGAGCAUUCUGCUAGAAAGGAUGCUCGGGUGUAGACAGAAUCAUAUAUUAUAUCAUUAUUAGUAUCAACAUGUUUCUAAAUGUUUUCAUACUCAGUAUAUGAUGUUAGAUUCAACAUGAGAUCUAAAGUUUUGUGUGAAGCCAAAUAUGCAGGUGUUAGCAAUACUGUUUGAUAGCUUGGGGGUACGAUGUGGCAAACGCGCAACGGCUGGCUAGCUGUGUUGGAGAGCAAGAGAUGUCCAGCGAGAAACAUCCCACUACAUGUUGGGGAAUGUAGUAAUUUCAAAAAAUUUCCUACGCACACGCAAGAUCAUGGUGAUGCAUAGCAACGAGAAGGGAGAGUGUUGUCUACGUACCCACGCAGACCGACUGCGGAAGCAUUGACACAACAUAGAGGAAGUAGUCGUACGUCUUCCCGAUCCGACCGAUCCAAGCACCGUUACUCCGGCACCUCCGAGUUCUUAGCACACGUACAGCUCGAUGACGAUCCCCGGGCUCCGAUCCAGCAAAGCGUCGGGGAAGAGUUCCGUCAGCACGACGGCGUGGUGAUGAUCUUGAUGUUCUACCGACGCAGGGCUUCGCCUAAGCACUACAACGAUAUGAUCGAGGUGGAAUAUGGUGGCAGGGGGCACCGCACACGGCUAAGAAAUGAUCUCAAGGAUCAACUUGUGUGUCUAGAGGUGCCCCCCUGCCCCUGUAUAUAAAGGAGCCAAGGAGGAGGGGCUGGCUGGCCAAGGAGGGUGCGCCAGGAGAGUCCUACUCCCUCUGGGAAUAGGAUUCCCCCCCAAUCCUAGUUGGAAUAGGAUUCCUUAAGGGGGGGAAAGGAGAGGGGGGGCCGGCCACCUCUUCUAGUCCUAAUAGGACUAGGGGAGGGGGGAGGCGCGCGGCCACCUUGGGCUGCCCCUUUCUUCUUUCCACUAAAGCCCAUUAAGGCCCAUAUAGCUCCCGGGGGGUUCCGGUAACCUCCCGGUACUCCGGUAAAAUCCUGAUUUCACCCGGAACACUUCCGAUAUCCAAACAUAGGCUUUCAAUAUAUCAAUCUUUAUGUCUCGACCAUUUCAAGACUCCUCGUCAUGUCCGUGAUCACAUUCGGGACUCCGAACUAACUUCGGUACAUCAAAAUGCAUAAACUCAUAAUAACUGUCAUCGUAACGUUAAGCGUGCGGACCCUACAGUUCGAGAAUAAUGUAGACAUGACUGAGACACAUCUCCAGUCAAUAACCAAUAGCGGGACCUGGAUGCCCAUAUUGGCUCCUACAUAUUCUACGAAGAUCUUUAUCGGUCAGACCGCAUAACAACAUACGUUGUUCCCUUUGUCAUCGAUAUGUUACUUGCCCGAGAUUCGAUCGUCGGUAUCCAAUACCUAGUUCAAUCUCGUUACCGGCAAGUCCCUUUACUCGUUCUGUAAUACAUCAUCCCGCAACUAACUCAUUAGUUGCAAUGCUUGCAAGGCUUAUGUGAUGUGCAUUACCGAGAGGGCCCAGAGAUACCUCUCCGACAAUCGGAGUGACAAAUCCUAAUCUCGAAAUACGCCAACCCAACAUCUACCUUUGGAGACACCUGUAGAGCUCCUUUAUAAUCACCCAUUUACGUUGUGACGUUUGGUAGCACAGAAAGUAUUCCUCCGGCAAACGGGAGUUGCAUAAUCUCAUAGUCAUAGGAACAUGUAUAAGUCAUGAAGAAAGCAAUAGCAACAUACUAAACGAUCGGGUGCUAAGCUAAUGGAAUGGGUCAUGUCAAUCAGAUCAUUCAACUAAUGAUGUGACCUCGUUAAUCAAAUAACAACUCUUUGUUCAUGGUUAGCAAACAUAACCAUCUUUGAUUAACGAGCUAGUCAAGUAGAGGCAUACUAGUGACACUCUGUUUGUCUAUGUAUUCACACAUGUAUUAUGUUUUCGGUUAAUACAAUUCUAGCAUGAAUAAUAAACAUUUAUCAUGAUAUAAGGAAAUAAAUAAUAACUUUAUUAUUGCCUCUAGGGCAUAUUUCCGUCAGUCUCCCACUUGCACUAGAGUCAAUAAUCUAGAUUACACUGUAAUGAUUCUAACACCCAUGGAGUCUUGGUGUUGAUCAUGUUUUGCUCGUGGAAGAGGCUUAGUCAACGAGUCUGCAACAUUCAGAUCUGUAUGUAUCUUGCAAAUCUCUAUGUCUCCCACCUGGACUAGAUUCCGGAUGGAAUUGAAGCGUCUCUUGAUGUGCUUGGUCCUUUUGUGAAAUCUGGAUUCCUUUGCCAAGGCAAUUGCACCAGUAUUGUCACAAAAGAUUUUCAUUGGACCCGAUGCACUAGGUAUGACACCUAGAUCGGAUAUGAACUCCUUCAUCCAGACUCCUUCGUUCGCUGCUUCCGAAGCAGCUAUGUACUCCGCUUCACAUGUAGAUCCCGCUAUGACGCUUUGUUUAGAACUGCACCAACUGACAGCUCCACCGUUUAAUGUAAACACGUAUCCGGUUUGCGAUUUAGAAUCGUCCGGAUUAGUGUCAAAGCUUGCAUCAACGUAACCUUUUACGGUGAGCUCUUUGUCACCUCCAUAUACGAUAAACAUAUCCUUAGUCCUUUUCAGGUAUUUCAGGAUGUUCUUGACCGCUGUCCAGUGAUCCACUCCUAGAUUACUUUGAUACCUUCCUCCUAGACUUAUAGCAAGGCACACAUCAGGUCUGGUACACAGCAUUGCAUACAUGAUAGAGCCUAUGGCUGAAGCAUAGGGAACAUCUUUCAUUUUCUCUCUAUCUUCUGCAGUGGUCGGGCAUUGAGUCUGACUCAACUUCACACCUUGUAACAUAGGCAAGAACCCUUUCUUUGCUUGAUCCAUUUUGAACUUCUUCAAAAUCUUGUCAAGGUAUGUGCUUUGUGAAAGUCCAAUUAAGCGUCUUGAUCUAUCUUUAUAGAUCUUUAUGCCUAAUAUGUAAGCAGCUUCACCGAGGUCUUUCAUUGAAAAACUCUUAUUCAAGUAUCCCUUUAUGCUAUCCAGAAAUUCUAUAUCAUUUCCAAUCAGUAAUAUGUCAUCCACAUAUAAUAUCAGAAAUGCUACAGAGCUCCCACCCACUUUCUUGUAAAUACAGGCUUCUCCGAAAGUCUGUAUAAAACCAAAUGCUUUGAUCACACUAUCAAAGCGUUUAUUCCAACUCCGAGAGGCUUGCACCAGUCCAUAAAUGGAUCGCUGGAGCUUGCACACUUUGUUAGCUCCUUUUGGAUUGACAAAACCUUCCAGUUGCAUCAUAUACAACUCUUCUUCCAGAAAUCCAUUCAGGAAUGCAGUUUUGACAUCCAUCUGCCAAAUUUCAUAAUCAUAAAAUGCGGCAAUUGCUAACAUGAUUCGGACAGACUUAAGCAUCGCUACGGGUGAGAAGGUCUCAUCGUAGUCAACCCCUUGAACUUGUCGAAAACCUUUUGCGACAAGUCGAGCUUUGUAGACAGUAACAUUACCAUCAGCGUCAGUCUUCUUCUUGAAGAUCCAUUUAUUCCCAAUUGCUUGCCGAUCAUCGGGCAAGUCAACCAAAGUCCAUACUUUAUUCUCAUACAUGGAUCCCAUCUCAGAUUUCAUGGCUUCAAGCCACUUUGCGGAAUCUGGGCUUACCAUCGCUUCUUCAUAGUUUGUAGGUUCAUCAUGAUCUAGCAGCAUGAUUUCCAGAACAGGAUUACCGUACCACUCUGGUGCGGAUCUCGCUCUGGUUUAUCUACGAGGUUCAGUAGUAUCUUGUCCUGAAGUUUCAUGAUCAUCAUCAUUAGCUUCCUCACUAAUUGGUAUAGGUGUCGCAGAAACAGUUUUCUGUGAUGUACUACUUUCCAAUAAGGGAGCAGGUACAGUUACCUCGUCAAGUUCUACUUUCCUCCCACUCACUUCUUUCGAGAGAAACUCUUUCUAUAGAAAGGAUCCAUUCUUAGCAACGAAUAUCUUGCCUUCGGAUCUGUGAUAGAAGGUGUACCCAACAGUCUCCUUUGGGUAUCCUAUGAAGACACAUUUCUCCAAUUUGGGUUCGAGCUUAUCAGGUUGAAGCUUUUUCACAUAAGCAUCGCAGCCCCAAACUUUAAGAAACGACAACUUUGGUUUCUUGCCAAACCACAGUUCAUAAGGCGUCGUCUCAACGGAUUUUGAUGGUGCCCUAUUUAACGUGAAUGCGGCCGUCUCUAAAGCAUAACCCCAAAACGAUAGUGGUAAAUCAGUAAGAGACAUCAUAGAUCGCACCAUAUCUAGUAAAGUACGAUUACGACGUUCGGACACACCAUUACGCUGUGGUGUUCCGGGUGGCAUGAGUUGCGAAACUAUUCCACAAUUUUUCAAAUGUACACCAAACUCGUAACUCAAAUAUUCUCCUCCACGAUCAGAUCGUAGAAACUUUAUUUUCUUGUUACGAUGAUUUUCAACUUCACUCUGAAAUUCUUUGAACUUUUCAAAUGUUUCAGACUUGUGUUUCAUCAAGUAGAUAUACCCAUAUCUGCUUAAAUCAUCUGUGAAGGUGAGAAAAUAACGAUAUCCGCCACGAGCCUCAAUAUUCAUCGGACCACAUACAUCGGUAUGUAUGAUUUCCAACAAAUCUGUUGCUCUCUCCAUAGUACCGGAGAACGGUGUUUUAGUCAUCUUGCCUAUGAGGCAUGGUUCGCAAGUACCAAGUGAUUCAUAAUCAAGUGGUUCCAAAAGUCCAUCAGUAUGGAGUUUCUUCAUGCGCUUUAUACCGAUAUGACCUAAAACGGCAGUGCCACAAAUAAGUUGCACUAUCAUUAUCAACUCUGCAUCUUUUGGCUUCAACAUUAUGAAUAUGUGUGUUACUACUAUCGAGAUUCAUCAAAAAUAGACCACUCUUCAAAGGUGCAUGACCAUAAAAGAUAUUACUCAUAUAAAUAGAACAACCAUUAUUCUUUGAUUUAAAUGAAUAACCGUCUCGCAUCAAACAAGAUCCAGAUAUAAUGUUCAUGCUCAAUGCUGGCACCAAAUAACAAUUAUUUAGGUCUAAUAUUAAUCCCGAAGGUAGAUGUAGAGGUAGCGUGCCGACCGCGAUCACAUCGACUUUGGAACCGUUUCCCACGCGCAUCGUCACCUCGUCCUUUGUCAGUGUUUGCUUAAUCCGUAGUCCCUGUUUCGAGUUGCAAAUAUUAGCAACAGAACCAGUAUCAAAUACCCAGGUGCUACUGCAAGCUCUAGUAAGGUACACAUCAAUAACAUAUAUAUCACAUAUACCUUUGUUCACCUUGCCAUCCUUCUUAUCCGCCAAAUACUUGGGGUAGUUCCGCUUCCAGUGACCAGUCUGCUUGCAGUAGAAACACUCAGUUUCAGGCUUAGGUCCAGACUUGGGUUUCUUCUCCUGAGCAGCAACUUGCUUACUGUUCUUCUUGAAGUUCCCCUUCUUCUUCCCUUUACCCUUUUUCUUGAAACUAGUGGUCUUGUUAACCAUCAACACUUGAUGCUCCUUCUUGAUUUCUACCUCCGCAGCUUUCAGCAUUGCGAAGAUCUCGGGAGUAGUCUUGUUCAUCCCUUGCAUAUUAUAGUUCAUCACAAAGCUCUUGUAGCUUGGUGGCAGUGAUUGGAGAAUUCUGUCAAUGAUGCAAUCAUCUGGAAGAUUAACUCCCAUCUGAAUCAAGUGAUUAUUAUACCCAGACAUUUUGAGUAUAUGCUCACUGACAGAACUGUUCUCCUCCAUCUUGCAGCUAUAGAACUUAUUGGAGACUUCAUAUCUCUCAAUCCGGGCAUUUGCUUGAAAUAUUAACUUCAACUCCUGGAACAUCUCAUAUGCUCCAUGACGUUCAAAACGUCGUUGAAGUCCCGAUUCUAAGCCGUAAAGCAUGGCACACUGAACUAUCGAGUAGUCAUCAGCUUUGCUCUGCCAGACGUUCAUAACAUCAGGUAUUGCUCCAGCAGCAGGCCUGGCACCCAGCGGUGCUUCCAGGACGUAAUUCUUCUGAGCAGCAAUGAGGAUAAUCCUCAAGUUACGGACCCAGUCCGUGUAAUUGCUACCAUCAUCUUUCAACUUUGCUUUCUCAAGGAAUGCAUUAAAAUUCAACGGGACAACAGCACGAGCCAUCUAUCUACAAUCAACAUAAACAAGCAAGAUACUAUCAGGUACUAAGUUCAUGAUAAGUUUAAGUUCAAUUAAUCAAAUUACUUAAGAACUCCCACUUAGAUAGACAUCCCUCUAAUCCUCUAAGUGAUCACGUGAUCCAAAUCAACUAAACCAUAACCGAUCAUCACGUGAGAUGGAGUAGUUUUCAAUGGUGAACAUCGUUAUGUUGAUCAUAUCUACUAUAUGAUUCACGUUAGACCUUUCGGUCUCCGUGUUCCGAGGCCAUAUCUGCAUAUGCUAGGCUCGUCAAGUUUAACCUUAGUAUUCUGCGUGUGCAAAAACUGGCUUGCACCCGUUGUAGAUGGACGUAGAGCUUAUCAUACCCAAUCAUCACGUGGUGUCUGGGCACGACGAACUUUGGCAACGGUGCAUACUCAGGGAGAACACUUCUUGAUAAUUUAGUGAGAGAUCAUCUUAUAAUGCUACCGUCAAUCAAAGCAAGAUAAGAUGCAUAAAAAGAUAAACAUCACAUGCAAUCAAUAUAAGUGAUAUGAUAUGGCCAUCAUCAUCUUGUGCUUGUGAUCUCCAUCUCCGAAGCAUCGUCAUGAUCACCAUCGUCACCGGCGCGACACCUUGAUCUCCAUCGUAGCAUCGUUGUCGUCUCGCCAAUCUUAUGCUUCUACGACUAUCGCUACCGUUUAGUGAUAAAGUAAAGCAUUACAUCGCGAUUGCAUUGCAUACAAUAAAGCGACAACCAUAUGGCUCCUGCCAGUUGCCGAUAACUUGGUUACAAAACAUGAUCAUCUCAUACAAUAAAAUUUAGCAUCAUGUCUUGGCCAUAUCACAUCACAACAUGCCCUGCAAAAACAAGUUAGACGUCCUCUACUUUGUUGUUGCAAGUUUUACGUGGCUGCUACGGGCUUAAGCAAGAACCAAUCUCACCUACGCAUCAAAACCACAACGAUAGUUUGUCAAAUAGACUCCGUUUUAACCUUCGCAAGGACCGGGCGUAGCCACACUCGGUUCAACUAAAGUUGGAGAGACAGUCGCCCGCAAGCCACCUAUGUGCAAAGCACGUCGGGGAAACCGGUCUCGCGUAAGCGUACGCGUAAUGUUGGUCCGGGUCGUCUCGUCCAACAAUACCGUUGAACCAAAGUAUGACAUGGCAGUAUGACUUAUAUCGCCCACAACUCACUUGUGUUCUACUCGUGCAAAUAACAUCAAACCAUAAAACCUAGGCUCGGAUGCCACUAUUGGGGAACAUAGUAAUUUCAAAAAAAUUCCUAUGCACACGCAAGAUCAUGGUGAUGCAUAGCAACGAGAAGGGAGAGUGUUGUCUACGUACCCACGCAGACCGACUGCGGAAGCAUUGACACAACAUAGAGGAAGUAGUCGUACGUCUUCCCGAUCCGACCGAUCCAAGCACCGUUACUCCGGCACCUCCGAGUUCUUAGCACACGUACAGCUCGAUGACGAUUCCCGGGCUCCGAUCCAGCAAAGCGUCGGGGAAGAGUUCCGUCAGCACGACGGCGUGGUGACGAUCUUGAUGUUCUACCGACGCAGGGCUUCGCCUAAGCACUACAACGAUAUGAUCGAGGUGGAAUAUGGUGGCAGGAGGCACCGCACACAGCUAAGGAACGAUCUCAAGGAUCAACUUGUGUAUCUAGAGGUGCCCCCCUGCCCCUGUAUAUAAAGGAGCCAAGGGGGAGGGGCUGGCUGGCCAAGGAGGGUGCGCCAGGAGAGUCCUACUCCCUCUGGGAGUAGGAUUCCCCCCCCCCCCCAAUCCUAGUUGGAAUAGGAUUCCUUAAGGGGGGGGGAAGAGAGAGAGGGGGGCCGGCCACCUCUCCUAGUCCUAAUAGGACUAGGGGAGGGGGGAGGCGCGCGGCCACCUUGGGCUGCCCCUUUCUUCUUUCCACUAAAGCCCACUAAGGCCCAUAUAGCUCCCGGGGGGUUCCGGUAACCUCCCGGUACUCCGGUAAAAUCCCGAUUUCAUCCGGAACACUUCCGAUAUCCAAACAUAGGCUUCCAAUAUAUCAAUCUUUAUGUCUCGACCAUUUUGAGACUCGUCGUCAUGUCCGUGAUCACAUCCGGGACUCCGAACUAACUUCGGUACAUCAAAAUGCAUAAACUCAUAAUAACUGUCAUCGUAACGUUAAGCGUGCGGACCCUACGGUUCAAGAAUAAUGUAGACAUGACUGAGACACAUCUCCGGUCAAUAACCAAUAGUGGGACCUGGAUGCCCAUAUUGGCUCCUACAUAUUCUACGAAGAUCUUUAUCGGUCAGACCGCAUAACAACAUGCGUUGUUCCCUUUGUCAUCGGUAUGUUACUUGCCCGAGAUUCGAUCGUCGGUAUCCAAUACCUAGUUCAAUCUCGUUACCGGCAAGUCUCUUUACUCGUUCUGUAAUACAUCAUCCCGCAACUAACUCAUUAGUUGCAAUGCUUGCAAGGCUUGUGUGAUGUGCAUUACCGAGAGGGCCCAGAGAUACCUCUCCGACAAUCGGAGUGACAAAUCCUAAUCUUGAAAUACGCCAACCCAACAUCUACCUUUGGAGACACCUGUAGAGCUUCUUUAUAAUCACCCAUUUACGUUGUGACGUUUGGUAGCACAGAAAGUAUUCCUCCGGCAAACGGGAGUUGCAUAAUCUCAUAGUCAUAGGAACAUGUAUAAUUCAUGAAGAAAGCAAUAGCAACAUACUAAACGAUCGGGUGCUAAGCUAAUGGAAUGGGUCAUGUCAAUCAGAUCAUUCAACUAAUGAUGUGACCUCGUUAAUCAAAUAACAACUCUUUGUUCAUGGUUAGCAAACAUAACCAUCUUUGAUUAACGAGCUAGUCAAGUAGAGGCAUACUAGUGACACUCUGUUUGUCUAUGUAUUCACACAUGUAUUAUGUUUCCGGUUAAUACAAUUCUAGCAUGAAUAAUAAACAUUUAUCAUGAUAUAAGGAAAUAAAUAAUAACUUUAUUAUUGCCUCUAGGGCAUAUUUCCUUCACUACAAUGGGAAACCGAGCGGGAAGGGGAGAGUCAGAUAGGAAAACCGAAGUUUUUGUCGUGGGAUGGGGGUUUUGUGUUGCGCCCUUGGGUUGGAGAUAACAAAUGGCGGAUAGUCCGGACAAUGACAUUUCUCCCCCACAUAUGAUCUGGAUUUCGGAAAGUCUGGACUGUCCAGACGGUUGAAUUUUGGGGAGCCCAUUGGGCACCGGACGUAUGAGGAAGAAAUGAGUUUCGAAUUUAAAGACGACUUUAAUCAUUUAUUUAAUUCAUUUAUGUGUGUUGUAGCCCGUAGCAACGCACGGGCAUUCUACUAGUAUAAGUUAUAACUCUGCUAUACUGCCAAUUUCUUGCAUGCUCAUAUGUAUGUUGUAUGGCAUUUAAUUUCUUUUGGUGGUCCUUUCCCUCUUUGAAUUGAAUGCCAACAUAGUAGAACAUGUACUGCAUAAGGUUCAGCAGGCUGGGUCUAACAAGGUAAAUCAUUAUUUCUCAUGCGGAAGUUUGCAGGAUUAUGCACACACAUUGUUUCGUUUCGUUGACCAUAGAACAUGAUUUGCUCUUUAUUUUCUCUCCUAUGCCUAAGGCUUUGAGCUCCUUCGAAAUCAUUACUAUAAUGAAAAGGAUGAGAAGUGAGUCCUUUAGACAUGGAACACACAUAAGUUCUUUGAAGAUCAUUUUAUUUGGGAUGUCAAUAACAGUUCUACCAAUUUGCAUCAAUUGUUUAUAUGCUAUACAAACCAUCACUUGGCCCUCUAUUGUCAUUAAUCAGAUGCACGGAAUUUGUGAAUAUAUAAAUAUUCUGGCUGAAGAUAGAACCAACUUGUGAUGGUUCCAUGUGGUACAUAUAACUGAAAUUGGUCAGAUGUUUCUAUAUUUCUUUCGUUAAGACAUCUUUUUUCCUUUGUUAAGAUGUGUCUAAGAUGGGCGGGCGCCGCAACGCGCGCCUUUAUGAUCUAGUACAGCGUGAUGGCGCUGGUGCGCAACUGUUGGUGCAGCACAUUCACCAUUAAUUAUAUUGUUUUUAACACAGUAUAAACGUAAGUGCUCAUAUAUUUAUACGCGCAUAUAUUCACCCCUUGUGAAUGCACGUACGCACACUCUAUCCCUAUGAGCACCUCUGAAAGACUGAGUUAGUAUAUUAUCUAAAUUUUACAAAGUCACCAUAGGCGCCUAUCCGGGAUAAAUGCAAGCAUCAUGACUUGAAUUCUGAUGGGCUGGGGAUAUCACUGUGCUCCUAACCAUUCAACCACAUAUUGGUUCACCGGGACUAAUCAUACCGGUGUAGCCAAGUCUUAUUUAAAAACUAUGGACCAAACUUCAUCCCAUAUAGUUGAACAACACUAGGGGUAGAAACGGAUCGGAUGCGGAUCGGAUAGUGCUCUUGCCACUUCCAUUUUCAUAUUUUCAAAACGAAUACGAAUUCGAAUACGGAUGUUAUCGGAUACGGAUGCGGCUCGGAUAUUAUUCAAAUACGGAUACGUAUCGGAUAUUUUCUUGAUUCGGAACGGAUACGAAUAAUAUCAACAUAUUGCUUAAGUAAAUCAGUCGAUAGCUAUGUGAACUGAAAUAAUCAACUUGUGACAUACAAUAAGUCAAUGAUAAAUAGGUUUAUGAAUAAAUACUAUUGUAAUGCAUAAUAAUUUAUAAGUUUAAUCAUAUAAAGAGUAAAAUUUGACCACUUAUUUGGCUUUUAUGUUGGAUAAUUGGAAUAUUGAGUCUAGAAAUUUGAAAAUUACCUCCCAUAAUCUUAUUCGGAUACGGAUAUAUCCACUUUCAUAUCCAUGUUUGUCUCAAAAUCUCCUACCAUAUUUUAUUUUUUAUUUGUUUAAUAAAUUCGGAUACGGAUAAUUUCCAUUUCCAUUUUGGUUCGGAUGCGGAUGUUUCGGAUACAAAUAGGCAUUUUCUCGAAUACGAAUAUCGGAUAUUUCGGAUUAUCCGCUAUCAAUUUCCACCCCUAAACAACACGCUGUUGCGGUCUGAUGUAGUUGCUACUCAUUUGUUUCUAAAGUAACUUGUAAUCAACUACUUCUUCCGUUUUGAAAUAGAUGACUCAACUUUAUACAAAGUUAGUAUAAAGUUGAGUCAUCUAUUUUGGAACGGAGGGAGUACUUCUGAUGAGAACAAAUCAAUAAAGUACCUUGUAAUCAAACUACUGAGAUAAUUUGUACCUUCUCUCCGUACCCAUGUAUAAUCAAGUAGCCUCUUAAUGUACUUUUCCUUUUUCUUCUUUGAAGCAAGUUUAUGAAGAAAAGAAUGAUGUAUUCUGAUCUCCAUGAAGCAACCAAUUAGCUCGUCCUCUCUAUAAAAACAAUUCUUCAUGAUACCGAAGAUUCUCAAUAUCUAGCCUAACAAAAAGAAGGUUAUCAAUAUUUGAAGAUCUUUUUUAUCCCUAAUCUCCCCGUCAGAUCACUUUGUCUCCAUUUCUGAAGGUCUUUUUUUAGCUUCGAUAUCCUCUUAUUUGGGCCUUUCAGAACCUCCAGAUCCCUCUGGUGUAGAUCUUUAUGAACAGCCUUGGUACAAUCAGGCAAGGGUGGCCUAGCUUGCUGGAUCCCAAGCCAAUUGGACUACCGCAUUGACGGUUUCUUCACACAACCAACGGGCUUCAAACUAUUUUCGGGCCUUCGAUUGUUGAGACAAAACAAAUUUUAAAAAAAUAUGAAGGAAAAUAGAUCAAUGGUCUGAAUGGACACGGUGCUCAUGAACCAACGCAUAUGGCAAUUUAUCCGCACACGCCUCAUUACUUGGUGAUGCCCUGGCUCCAGGUAAACUGAUCACCAAUAACAGUGGUCUGUUGAAGUCCACACAACCUCUGAAAUUAUGCAUCAAUUGUUGAGGUCGAACAUUACCACCCUCCUUCUCACUUGCAACCAAUCUCUCAUUAAAAUCACAGUAACUAACCAUGGACCAGCCGCAUUCCGUUGCGCGAGUAUGUCCAGGACAGGUGCUUCCUAUCCCAAGUUGGUUGUCCAUAAUAUCCUGUCAAGCGCCAUGAAGCAUCAUUUUCACCCAUAACAAUUGCAUCAAUAAAUUUUUCUAAAGAAUAGUUCAACACCACUUUAUUAGAUUGGUUAUAAAAAAGGACAAGGUUCCCCGAGCGACCAUCACUCUUUUUUUUUCAAGAAACUUCCAAUCUAUUUAUCGUCAAUCAUGGUGGUACAACAAACACCAGAAAUAAUAAAAAUUACAUCGAGAUAUGUAGACCACCUAGCGACGACUACAAGCACUGAAGCGAGCCGAAUGCGCGCAGUCGUCAUUGCCCCUCCCACACACGCAUACCUUACCACUAUGAGUACCUCCGACAAACUGAGGCGGCAUAUCAUCUUGAGAUGGACGAAGUCACCAAAGGCGUCUCGUAGUCGACGGGAACGUCUCCUCCCAUUAAACGCGCAUCGCAGAAAAUCCUGAAAUAAAUUCAGCAAUAAAUGUGAGCAAAAGGAUAUGAACUCUGGUGGACUGGGGAUACCACUGUCCACCUAACCAUUCAACCACAGAUUGGUAUUGCUAUGUACAAUUUGGGGUCAUGAUGACCGGAUAGCAGAUUGUGGAGCUUGUAUUUUUUUGUUUCUAUAAUAGCCGCAUGACCUGAAAGGUUUCUUUCCAUCCGGGGCAAUUAUCGUGUCAGUUAAUGGGGGGUGGGGGUGGAUAAACUGGUCACACGAUGCAUAGUUUUAACUUUCUACACCGUGAUAAAAUAAAAGGAAAUGAUUUUCUUCACCUGGCCUAUCCAUCGCGGGGCAUCCGCCGCCUCUAGUGUGCAGACGCGUGUCCUAUGUGGACCCUAUGCGUCGCUCUAUAUUUUUUCUUAUUCCCACCCAUGGUUGACCUUUGUUGAAGAAAAAGCUACAACAAGACCUCUGUUGCAAAAGUUUAUAUAUGCAGAAGACCUCUAUUUUUGCAAAAAAAAAAAGGAUUCUACAACAUGACCUAUGUUGCAAUGAUAGGCAAUAAAGAAAAAGAACAAAAGAUUAAACAAUUUGCAACAACUCUCUUGUUGCAGAAGGCAAAGCACAAUAAGGCUCAUGUUAGAUAGAUCGGAGGAAGAGAAAAAUGGUUUGAGGCUUUUUACGGUUAGUCCGUAGUUCGAAGCCUUUUGCAACAAAUCCUCUGUUGUAGAGAGACGGGUGCAACAACAUGCUUGUUGCAACUUCAUUUGCUCAUGUGAAGAAGAUGUAGUGACUUUCUUUGUCUUAGUCCGACGGCUAUGGAGGUGGACGAUCUUUUCCAUUGCUUAAACCGGCCAACACCUAGUGCAGCCCAUAAAAUAAUUCCCGGUGCCUUUCAAGCCUAUGCAACUCGUAUGGAACACACUUUCUACUCUCUUGAUGUAUGGAUUGUCUCAUCGUUUCUAGAGGAAAAUAAUUUGAAAUUGAGAGGCACGGAAGAGAUUGAUGUUUAUCAGUUGAGAAUUGAUGACAUGAAGGUGCCCCGCUGCCCACCGCAUUGCAUGGUUUUGUGUGGGCCCAUAAUAUUUCAGCACCUAUAAAUGAGCUCAGUUUGGGCAUCAUGACAUUUAUGUGUGUCAAACCACAUAUUUGUCGCGUCAUAGGCUCUCACCGAUUCCACGCCUCCCAACUAUAAACAUUCACGAAGAAUUAAAGCAUACAACCAGCCUACUAUAUCAAGUUGUGCUGAGAGCAGAGCAUCUCCAAUAACUGCCCUAUAAUAGGGCACCAAAAUUUGCUUGAAGUAAAAUUUGGGAUACAAAAAAGUGUUUUUAGGGCACGAGAAAGUGAGUGUCUCCAAAAGUUGCCCUAAAAUGGGGUAUUGAAUAGGGCACCAUUGCUCCAACAACUGCCAUAAAAAUAGGGCAACCGCACCACAUCUUUCUUCUCCACAUAUGGAUAGAAAUUAAACUUUGCAAGAUUUCCUUGAGUGUCUUCUCCACCAACAGCUGCUCACAAAAUUCAAUUACUGAACUUGAGUGUCUUCUCCACCAACAGCUGCUCAAAAAAUUCAACUACUAAAACCAAAUCUAACAGGAAGACCGACAAAAUCAAAGUAGAUACUAAAUUUGAGUGUCUUCUUUUAAUUUCUUUGUAUUGCACAGAACUACACACCAAAAUGGCAUGGGAUACAAUUUCAGCGAAUAACAAACGAAAUUGACAAGAAGUUCCUUUGUAACUUUCUUCAGUAAAAGGAACAGUGAAAGUCUGAACUUUCUGAAAACUAACACCUGCAUCUUGGCCUCUUACACUUUCGUCAGAAAAAGGAAAGCUGGAAACUGAACUUUACUAAUGAAUUACAUCGGGACUAGCAGCGGCGCAUUCAAGCAGCACCUCCACGACCCGUACAAACUCCAACAACCCAUUCUGCAGCACCACCACACAAACCACUAACUAGCCAUCAGGCUUUCAUUUAGCUUUGUACUCUCUCUGUAAACUAAUAUAAGAUUAUUUAGGUCACUAGAGGGAAUAUAUGAUAAAUGUGUUUGCUUUCGCAAAAAAAAAAAAUAUGAUAAAUGUGUUUGGAAGAGGGCUAACUUGCUUUAUUUGGAAUCGCCAAGGUGAAUCUAACUUCCUUUUUUCUUGGCAAAACAAAAUAACUGCACUAUCGUGCUACAAUCAGCAACAGAAUUGGUCACUACCCAUGCCAUGCAAUUCAGCUCAAUUCACUCUAUUAAAAAACUUCAAGUCAUAGCACGAGAAAUUUCCACUUUAAAGGAAUCGAAACAUCCUCACCACGCAACCCAGUAGAAAUGAAACAAUCCUACAUGCUCAACCCACAACAACGGAAGCUCCGAGCCGCACUAGCCCCGGGUCACCGCAAUUGCAUUUGAGAACUUAGCCAUGGCCUCGACAACAACAUUGAAGAAGGCGUCGGAGCCAAAGCCCUUUGUCUGGAUGUGCUAGCAAAGCUCCGCCACCACCCAUGGAGCUCGCUCAGCUUGGAUGGGUGGCCGGAGCCGAAUCUCGCAGGGAUAGAGAUCAAAUCGGACCUAGGGAAGAGGGGACGAGGUGAGGGGCGCUAGAGUUGGGGGAGGCAUCAACCGCAGUGAUGCUCGCAAGAGUAGAGGCAGGAAGGGCACGUGGGAAAACACCCGACCGACGAUUUUGCGACAGCGGCCCAAGUGUAGAGUUGGAUCAGCCGACGGUGAUUUGCAGGUGUAGAGGCAGGAAGGGUGCGUGGAAAACGCCCGACCGGCGGUUUUGCGACAGUACUUUAUGCUGUAUUUUUGGGCAGCGCUGGAAAUUUUGGAGCAAAUUUUACAUUAAGGGCAGGUAUUGGAGCAGUGUUUCUGGCCCCAAAUGCCCUAAAUACGUUAUGGGGAGAUUCUCUGAGUUGAUGGGGAGUUUAGGUGUUUACACACACUCCAAAUCACAAGUCUUACAACGGUUGUUUCAGGCCCUAAAUAAACACACAAAAUCUGUCAGGCAGAUUAACGUCUUACACCCACACAAACGGAAGCAAUUUGCUUGGCUUUACAUAUAUCCAAGGUAACAUUUCUAGAUCUGUUGGAGAAGCUCGUAUACAUUGGGUGCAUGUUGCAUGGAGAAGCUCAUACAAGUUAAAUGUGCAUGCUGAAUUUGGUAUCCAAGUCGAUCAGCUCAGGUACAAUGAGGAAUAUUACUUAGUUCCACAGUAUCUCUAACAAUGGUUGGAGAAGCUACACAUUUAAAUCUCAGACAUGCAUGUAUUUCGGAACGGAGGCAGUAGUUUUUUACAGAAUGUGACAUUUGGAACUAUAGACUGUUCUUUUCAACUACUCAGAAGGCUAACUAAAAUUUCAGAAACAUUUAUGAGAAAGAAAUAGAACAGCAUCACAUCAAAAAAAAAAGAUGGACGCAGGGCAGAAUUACAUAUAUCAAGAGUACUGCAAAAUUAAUAGCUGCAUAAAAUUCAGUCACAAACACAUAUAAUCCCACAUUACAUAAAACUCAGUCUUGGAACAAAACCAGACUAGCAUUAAACAGCUAAAUUGGACAGAACACAGGUAAGACAGCUUCCACAGCCAUAGCAGCAAACACGCCAGGAAUCACUAGACCAUGCCGUCCUCCCUCGAUGCCUGGCAGCCUGGAUGUAGGAUGAUGCUUCCCCUGCUCCAAG
rnacentral:lncRNA from 1 species